rnacentral:lncRNA from 1 species
AAAAUUAAGAGUAUGUUGGGCUGAGUAACCGAGGUGGAGUGCUUGACUAUUAUCUCUCUUCGCGUCAAAAGGUUCAAUAUAUUCUUAAGCAAAACUAAAAAAAAAAAGGAAAAAAAAGUAUUAAUAAUAAAACUGAAUUUGGGGACUAAAAGUGGAAACAAAUAGGGUGUCUUGAUAGGUUUGGUAAAUUACCUAAUUUUCAUGAAAUAAUCCAAGUCGAUCUUAAUUUUUGUGUGUUAAUUGGAAUAAUUUUUCAAUAUUACUUAAAGAGAGCUAAGGGUUCUCUUUAUUUUUCAUAUGCAUUUUGACUAAUUUUUAUAAAAAUUUGGAGUGGUACUUCUUUCAUGGCAAUUUCUAAAUUUCACAGUGGACAAGAACCAUACUUGAGGGCAAGCAUGGGCUAAGUAGGGGGAAUUUGAUAGUACUAUAAAAUGACAUAUUUUUAUGUAUUAAUUAUAUGUUUAUUUUGAGUAUGAUCUUACUAAUUUGAGCUAUUUAUGGUCUUUUAUCUUUCAGGGACUAAAUUGGAGGCAAAAGGAAAUUUAAGGGAAAAAUCGCGAAUUUGAAGAAAAAUGGGCCAACAUGCGACAUAGGGAAAAAGGUGGUGCCAAAAAUGCAAGUAUGGACAACAUAAGGGCUAAAGUGCAAAAGAAGAUAUUUUAUAUCACAAGACUCUAUUUUAAUUCCCAUUAUAUUAGGAUAAUUAUUUAGGAUUAUUAUUUAGAUUUAUUUUUAUUUAUCUUUAUUUAUUUGUAUUUAUUUUUUUGGAAUUUAAGUAGGACUAGACUUGGAAUUUAAGUAGGACUAGACUAUCUUUCCUAGUACUAUAAAUAGGGGAUGGAGUAACACAAAUUUCACAUCAUUUUUUUCUGUAAACACUCUCUCCCCAUAAAGUUUAGCCUUUUUGUUCUUUCCAUAUUUUCUUUCAAUAAAAAUUUCAUUCCCAUUAUAUUUAUUUGUUUUCCCCAAAAAUCAUGAGCCACUAAAUCUAUCUAGCCGAAGGUUUUCAAAAUUCCCCAAAAAAGGGUUCAUGAGGCUUAGAAUCCGUACUUAGCCUUUUUGACAAAUAUUCAUCGCUACUCUAUAUUAUGGGGAUGAUGCUUUCGUCCAUGUCCCUUAAAAGGUGAUCUUUUCAAAGUGUGCAAAGGCGACCGCUUUGCAUGUUUUGGGAAGGUUGCACAGUCAGUUCGUUAGCUUACUGCAUCAGAGGUUGGGGAGCCCAAGAGACAAAAUAGCGUGGGAUUCGCCAUUGAGAAUUGAUGAUCUAGCAUAAGAUAAUCUCAUAGAAGCGAUUGUUGGCUAGAGUCAGAUUCCGCUAAAAUUUUAAGUCUAAAUUCUUGGACCUGGUGGUCGUAGGAGUCCUCUUCCACUAUAACUAGCUUAUUUUGUUUGAGAAGGAUCACCUAAAAGUCAAGGAUUGAACCCAAGGCGGAUCGAGACAACUGGAGGCUGGGAUCUCUCUAUAAGAACACAUUUUCCUCAACUUUAUUUAUUUUUAUUAUUUUUAAUUUUUGAAAUCCCAAUCAAAACUUUUAAUUCUUUUUUUAUUUUAUUUUUCCAGAUCAAAACUUUUAAUUUUGUUUUUUUUUAUUUCUUUUCCAGGUACGCAGGUUUUCUUGGGCACGAUUCUGACCAGGAUCCUGAGGAACAAGCAAUUGUGCAAAUCCGGUCCCUGAGGAUUUGACCCUACUUCUCUUAUAUUACUAUUUUUAUUAUUUUAUAGGGAUGGGAUAUUUUUUGUGGUCUUAAUGAUCGCAUCACAUGGGUGCAAAUCCCACUUGUACCAAAACAAAUCCCUAUUACUAUACAUUUUUGCUCCCUAACUUAUUUGAUGCAAUACAAGCUGAUCCAUGUACUAUACAACUAUGUUAGGAUCUAAAGAUCACCUAAAAACUCACCUAAUUUAACCUUCAACAAUACCAUAUCAAAAUGAUAACUUGUAAUACCAAAAAAUCAAGUUCAAAGCAUCAUUUGUAUACACCACAAUAUCACAAACCAUAAAAAACACAUGCAACUAAAAAUCAUCAUAUUGAUAUAUUGUAUUUGUACUUGGGUAUAACUAUAACACCAUAUAGUUCGAUUUUUUCUUGUUUUCCUCCAUGGCAUUCUUCAGUUCCUCGCACCAAAUGUGUCUUUCUUUCAUCAGUCUAAUUUCUUUUUUUUUCAAUUUAACAACCCAAACCCGGCCUAGACAUUACGUUUGGAUUGUGAAGGUUACAUCGUUACACAAAAACAAUGUCACUUAGUUUUUGUAAAAACUCAUUUUUAAUUCUAAGGGAAACAAAGCAGAUUAAAUUAUCGAAAACGUAGUGCUUCUGAAAAUUAUGUGUGUGUUUUGACGAAAACAACGUUUUAUUAACUUUAUUUAAACAAACCCAUAAGCUUGAUCACUUGUAUGGUAUGGCCUCGUAUCAAAUUUCAGAAACUUUGCAAUGGAAAACAUAUUUAGAUUUUUUUUCUUAUAAAACUAUAAUAUCUUAUUAGUUCUACCGUUUUGAUUAGAAUUCUGAUUAUAAAUAGUACGUUUGCAAAAAAAAAUACCAAAUCAAAAUUAAAGUUCUAAAACAAAAUUAAAAGUUCAAAAGUCCGUAAUUUAACCCAAACAUACUUUAAUCCAAAAAGUUUUAACAAAGCUCUAGAAUCGUCGCCCAAUACUAAGUCUGAGGAUCACCUAAAACAAAACAAAACAAACGAGUGAGCUAGAAUGCCAAUGAGUGACUUGGCCCACAUGCAGAAUUUUAUUUAUAGAAUAUCAGAGUAAACCCUAUCCCUAUCCACUAUACACCGUCUUCGUCUAACUAAUCACACCAAUUAGGAGUACAAGAUUCCAUCCAUCCAACCACACCGGUACGUGGCACUAUGGUACUCAUAAAUGUGUAGUUGAGCUGCUAGACUGAAAUUGCGGUUUAACCUCUAAAAUUGUAGUAGAACUACCAUAAUACAAUUCCUCCAUCUUAGCAAAACCCACCCCACUGCAUAUGCAUAAUCAUAUUUACAUACAUACGUAUCAUAUAGGUUGAAUGGCAUGCAUGUCUAAACAUAUAUAGAUAGAGCAUAACAUAACACAUAACUUAUGCAAAUCGAAACUUACUUAACAUGCUUACUCAUGUGUAACAUACUGACUUUUUUGUUUUUUAUUGGCCUAUCAAAAUGCCCAUGGAUUCAAUUUUUGAGUCCUUUAAUUGGCCCAGGUCGUGUGCUCCACACAGCCUUGUAGUGCACAUGGUCUGUUACACGGCCUGCCACACGGCUAUGUGAUGUUAGGCAAUUUCAAAAAUAGACCCUGUUUUAGGGUUUUUUCCAGAUUCAAUCAAAUUUUUUGAGUUAGUAUACACACCUAAUGAUGAUUCUAAUAACCCACACAAAUAUUGCACCCGAAUCCUACAUAUAACAUUAAAACAAAUUGAUUAAAGAAUGUGAAUUGACUCAAUACCAAACUGAAACUUAAUUUUGAUAACACAAUUUGGUAAAAUCAGUCCCUAAACUGAUAUACCAACACUUACUCUGUAAAAACAAUUACUAAACGGUAGUUAGGUCAUCGGUAGGUCACGUAUCUCGCACAUUUCACCUAAGAGAGCCCAAAACAAUUAACAUUGAACGUUAGAAACAUCUAAAACUCCUAACAUCCACAAGUAAUAGACCCAUUUACCCUUACCACUGCAAUAUCUACAUACAUACUUACACUUAGGAAGGAAAUAUGAACACCGCUUAACGCGUAAAGGAUUGGAAAAAAUAAAAACAUAGAGAACAGAUGGAACAAGGGUGAUAGCAAAGAAAAAAAUUGGCACACCAAAAUAGAAGAGAAAAGAAAGAGGAAAAGAAGAAAAAAGAAAGUAACAAAAAUGUAAAGAAGAAAGGAAAAGAAGCGUGUAAAAGGGAAUGGAAAAAAUUUACAGUAAAUAGAGAGAAAAAUUACGGAAACUUUGAUUAUUUUAAAAAAAUAAAAACAAAAUAAAUAAAAAAUAUUUUGAUAAUAUCAUAACCCACCAGUUUAUCUAAAGUUUGAGAUUAACUCAACCACUAACAAAUAGACAAAGAACAAAAAGAAUCUCAUCUUUGCUCACACAGAGGUUCGGACAGAAGGCCUAAAGCAGACAUUCCAUGAACUUAACCACCAGACCAAAUCAGAUCACUUUACAUAUUUUAAGCAAUUUAAAUAUAAGAAAGUUGGGGCAUUACAUUCCAUCUCUAAAAACAAGAUCGAUAAGAGAAAAUAUGUUUCUUUCAGCACCAAAGUUAGCAAAUGGCACAUCCCCUUCAAUUAAAAGAUCUCUCUCAUAUGAUUAAGUUCAUUGUUCCUUAGGUAUCCUAUCUGAUUAGGUAUUCAGCACCAUCUUUGUUUAUUGCCUUUAAAAAAUUGAUCCUGUACGAGCUCGUACCCUGUUGAAGUAAAUAUAGAGUACAAAAAAUGGAUUAAAACCAUAUAUAUUAAAGAAUGAUAUAGAAAUAGAAUUUACUAAUGUAUCCAUGUUAAUAAAAUGUCGAAGUUAUUCAUCCUCGUGGAACAUCCUCAUGUAAUUAGCCCCGAUAUGUUGUAUGCAAUACCUAUGGUAUGUACGAUCCCAAAGGCUUCCAUUUUGAUCAAUUGCAGUGUGUAUGUCAGUCUCUCUAUCAGAAACGAUGCAUAUCUCGGGUUGUAGUACAACAUUUCUUCUCAAGUUAGUAAAGAAAUCUUAGUGCAACAGUAGUUUUGGGACCACAAAUCUGACAAGUAAAAUUUUAUUUUAUUAUUUUAAUGUUUACAGAAUAUUGGUAAGGUCGUAUAAAAAUUUUGUUAAGAAAUUUUGACGUUUGCAUGUUUAAUUAGGUGAAAAUGACUAAAUCAUAAAAAGUGAAAAAGUAAAGUUCUAAUAGUUAAAGAUGUCAAAUAGCUAUGAAAUUUUAAUCUAAUGGGAUUGGAUGGUAAUUAGAACAAUUAAAGUGAUAGUGGAUAUUUAUGGACAAUGUUUUAAUGAAAUUAUUAAAGGUUUUAAAGGUUAAAAUGGUAAUUAGGUAAAUUAAGUUAAAAAACAAAAGAAAAUAAAGCUAUCAUUUUUUAUUUUCUCUAGCCCUAACUGAAAUUAAGAAGGAGAAGACUUCAUGGAUGAAUUGCUUGUUCGGUCAAGCUUGAAUUCCUUGCAUGGUAUGAUUCUAAGUGUCGUUUUUGAUGUUUUUAUGCUUUUGGAGUCGUUGUAGCUUAACCUAGCUAGCUCGGGGACAAAUUUGCAAAAAUUUUUAAAGAUAUAGGGUUUUUCCAUGAAUGGUCUCAAAUGAUUUUUGAUGUUUGAUCGUACAUUAUGAGUCUUUGUGGAUGAAUAAACAAGUUUAGUAAAGUGAUUUUUGAUAAAAAUGUCAUUUAGGGGCUUAUUUGUAAUAGUAAACUUCAUGGUAAAAUUGUGAAAGAAUGGUUUAUAUGGGUUGGUAUGGGUUCUUAAUGGAUUCGGCUAGCAUGAAAUAUGGAUGGAAAUGCUUAGAUUUUAAAUUAUGAGCUUAAGGACUAAAUUGUGAAAAGUUAAAAUGUUAGGGGCAAAAUUGUAGUUAUGCAUAAAUGUGAAUUAUGGAUUGAAUUGAAUGUUAAUAUUGAUUGAAAUACUUAAUUGAAUAUAAUUAUUUAUUUAGAUCAAGAAAAAUCGAGGAAAUGUGAAAAUUACAGAUUAACUCGAUAGCAUUUUUACGCUCUAGUUGUCAAUGUAAGUUCAUAGUAUUUCAAUAUGUAAAUGAAUUUCUACUUGUAUAUUUUUACAUUAUAAUUAUGUAAUUAAAUUCUUAUAGUUAAUUAUUCCCUGAAUUGCACAUAUGUGCCCCUAUUUGUAAUUCGGUACCCCUAAAUUGCACAUACGUGCCCAUGAUUGUACUUCGAUACCCUUGAAUUGAACAUGCGUGCCCUGUUUACACUGUGGUAACUUUGAAUUGAGUAAAAUAUGAGUUUUAUUUCAAUUUUUGUUAAGUUUAAUGAUAUAAAAUGUUCUUACUAAGCUCUAUAAGCUUAUUCAUUUUUUUUUUGGAUUGUUUUGUAGAUCUUUGUUGCUUCUUUCAUGAUUUUUAUGCUCUAUAAGCUCUAUAAACUUCUUUCAUGAUUUCUAUGCUCCAUUUGACUAUUUUACGUGCACAUUCAUAGUUAGAAUAGUAGAUAAAUGUAUAUUUUUAAGUUUUAUUUUGGUAAUUUUUUAUUUUAUUUUCUUAGUCAGUAUAUUAGGCUACAUUCAUUCAUGGUUAUUGUUUCUAUGGGUUUCAUGCUAUUAACCCCACACAAAUUCAUUCUUUAGAUAUCUCCAUUACUUAUUCUCAUAAGGUUAUUUGGCACAUUUACUUUGGCUAUUAUAGUAUAGGUUAAUAUGUAAGCCGCAUGGAAAGUAUUCACUUUAAUUUCCAUUAUAGGUACACCAUGUCAUCUUCACGAGGAAAGAAGGUCGUCGUCCCUCCUUCGAAGAAAAGGAAGGGAGCGUCAUCUUCCUCGGGUGGGCCGCUGUAUAGACUGGGCCACGCUAGAACAAGUCCAACUUGUGGAUGCAAUUCAGGCCCUCCUCAUCACCGAUCCUUGGGGGCUUUUCUUUGAGAUUGUCAAGCCGACAUAUCUCGAACUCACGAUGGAACUCUGCUCAACAUCCCAUCUUCAGACCGUGAUAGCCCGCUUUGAUAACCCAAGAACAAUCCAAUUUUGCCUCGACGGUCUAGUACGCUAGUUGAACGUCCCAGAGUUUGGAACCGCACUGUGUCUUUACACUGAGGAGUUCAUGGAGGAGACUGAACUCCACGCUCUUAAUUACCACAUCUAUCACUCUCCUUCACGGUGUUGGAACGCCCUUACCCCUGGCACUGCCUCCUGCAAUCCUAACUGCUCCAAGGCAUCAGCUCUCCCUCCAUCUCUGAGGUACUUACAUGCCAUUUUGGCUUACACGUUAACAGGAAGGCGAGAGAGCACUGGCGUCGUCAACACUCACGACGCCUACUUUUUAUAGUGUAUGUCACACAGGCACGUCAUAGACCUUGCGUAUUUCAUUGCCCUCGUCAUUCAACAUUAGAUGGAGCGGCAUAGGAAGCGGGUCAUCUCCAUUGGGCCCUAUGUGACGCAGUUGGCUUGGAACUUCGGGCUCUUCAACACAGCAACCCAAUCAUCCUCCCUCACUCUCAUGGGCCAAAUGUCCCCACAGGGCAUCUCGAGCAUGCUAAGUAUGAGGAUGAUCGAGAAACGACGUGGCACCUUCCCUCCUCAGUACUGUCUCGCCCAAUCCACCGAGGAAGAGGACCCCAAGAACAUUACCGAUGAUGUCCCUCCAUGUCACAAGGACCCACCGUCUCGGCCACCACCACCCUCUCAUCCAGUUCAUGCGGCGGCUUCAUACGCUGACAUCUCUGAGCGCCUAACUCGAUUCAAGCAGCAGUAUUUUCAGCACUUCGAUCACAUUGAUGCUACACUACACCAGAUUUGUUAGCACUUCCACAUCUCAUCGCCACUCCCACCUCGCGAACCAUCUAGCGAUGAAGAUGUUUAAAAACUUUUAUUUAUUAUUUUAUGUUUUUACUUUUAUUCUACUUUAAGAGUACUUUUUGUUUUUCUUUAAGCUUAUUUUUAUUAGGUUUUAUAAUUUUUAUUUAACAAUUUUGAAUUUUGGCUAUUUCCUAUCGAGUAAUUAUUCCUCCUUAUAUAUUUUCUAAAAGAGUUCCUGAUUCUAUCACAGUUAUAAAGAGCUCUUAGCUCAUCAUCACAUUGGAACUAAAAACUCCACCGGGAAAGGUUCUCCGCGACUGCCAUGUCCUGCUCGACCAUGACCAUAGCUACCACCAGAUAUAAUAUUCUUUUGGUGUAGAACUUAUGGACUAAUGAACCUUUACCACUACCGGAGUAUCCUCCUCCACCCUCAUGCUAAUUAUUUUCCAAAACUCCAGCUCAAGGAAAUUCAUUCAUCACUGAGGAAGUUUUACUUCUCUCCCUAUCUUAUGUUUAUAUUCUUUUCUAUAUAUCUAUCUUUGAACAUUGAGGACAAUGUACAUCUUAAGUGUGGGGGGUAUUCAUUUCACUAUCAGAAAAAUCCCUGAAUGAUUGCCUUGUUCUCUUGAAAAGAUCUAAUAUCAUGUUUAGGAUAAAUUUUGAUUGAUUUAUAAUUUUUAUUGAUAUAUCUUAAAUUAAAACAUAAGCAUUCAUGCAUUGAUUAUUUAAAAUUUAAGACAUUAGAGAAUUAAGCAUGCUAAGUUGUUGAUUUUUAAGAAUUUAAAAUUUUAAGUUUUUUCCCCAAGUUUAGGUAUUAUCUUGAAUUGGAAUUCACAAAGUUUAAACAUCAAAAAGCCAUAAUUUUUGUGAGAUCUUGAGCCUUUAGAGCAUCUAUUAAUUCUUUCAUGCUCACUUUCAUUAUGAGUGCGUCAGUAUCGAAUUGUUAUUCUAGAACUUGCUUGAUUAUGCAUGCCAAAAUCACACCAUUUGAUUUGAUAUGUCAAAAUGAGAAAGGCACUUAGGUUUAACCCACUCACUCCAUAAAAGCCUACCUUCAUAAUUAACCCUUAGUGAACCCCCUUGAGCCUAACAACUCAUUCAUUAAUUUACCCUUAAUAUUAACCCAUAACUCAUUAUUGUUGAAAUCCCUUAAAUUAAUUUGAUCCCUACUUUUGUCGAGAUUUGAGUUGGAAUAGUUGCUUAGCUAUGUUUUAUUCUAUUUUUUAAUUUGACUUGUUCUGAAAAAAAUACAUGUAUACAUAUUAGCAGUAGCUAAAGAAGUUAAAUUCCAUAUUCUGAGAAAAAGGCCUGUUGUACGCAAUUGAUGACUAGUCAUUUUUCUAGUUAGGAAAUUUUUCAAUUCAAACUUGAUUCAAACCUUUUUCUUUCAGUUUGUGACCACACCCUCUAACCAAAGCCACGUUACAACCCUCUAAAGACCUUUUGAUUGAUGUUUCAUCUCAAUUUAUAGUGGUGGAGAUUUGAUUUUCAUGCAAGCCUAUGGUAAUGACUUUUCAUUAUUGACUAUUGAGUGCUUCACUUAUUGUCCUUAAACACCUCAAGUGAUUUGAGUGAAUCUUUAGUGAGGAUGUGAAACUCUGUGAUAUUUUGAAUCAAAAGUAAUUACUUAGAUAAGGGGAGACACUUAUGUUUUCAUGAUAAAAUGCUCAACUUGGAAUGUUUGAAACUUUGAUGUUCUUUCAGUUGAAUUUUCAAUGUAUGAUUACCAAUGGAUUAUUUUGAGAUAUUAUCGAUAGAAAUUAUAAGUUGAGAAGAAUUUAUUUUCAUUAUGAGUUGAGGAUUUUGCUUGAGGACAAGCAAAUGCUUAAGUCCGGGGGUAUUUGAUAAACCAUAAUUUAUACAUAUUUCUAUCCCAUGCUUAGCACAUUUUAUGGAUAAUUUUUCCUUAAAUUUGAUGAAUUCGAUGCUCCUAAUGCCUUAAUUUCAUAUUUUAUACUUAGGUGAGCAUAGGAGAGUGAAAGGAACGAGAAACGGGCCAAAAAAAGAGAAAAUGGACUAACGUACGAAAUCAACACAACCUGGACCUCCUCACACGGGCAAACCACACGGCGGUGUCAAUUUGGCAGAAUCGAAGCACGACUCACACGGGUGGACCACACGCUGGUGCCUAUUUAACAAGCUUGACCACGGCCUGAAGUAAUCACACACGGGCAUGUCCCUACCGAGCCCAAGUUUAGUCCAAUUCGAAAAAGGCCAAUUUUUAGGGUUCUUAGGCAUUCUAAAGCCUAUAAAGACACCCUAGAGGAGGAGGAAAAAGGACACACAGAGAAGGAAGCAGGGAACUGCUCAAAGAAAGCCGAUUGAUCCAUCUCAGAAUCCGGAUUCAUCACCAAGACUAAAGAUCUCCCCUCAAUUUCCCUUCAGGAGUUUUGGGUUUUUCUUUAUGUUUUGUAUUCAUUAUUCUUCUGAGAUGUUUACCUUUUUAGUUAUGAACUAAAACCCCUAAAUACCUAAGGGGAAUGAAACCUAAGACAAAUCUUGUUAUUAUUAUCUGAAUUGUAUGAUAAAAUUUGACUUGUUCUUAAUUAUGUGUUCUUAAUUCUUGUCUUGAUAUUCUAGGAUAUUGAUUCAAGUUAAGCUCUUAUUCAGAAGAGGAAUAGACCCUAUCAAAGAGUACAUUUGUCAUAAUUAAGCGGAGUUGAUUGUAUGCCUAGAGAUAGGAUCACAAGAUUUUGUCAGAUUAGGGUGAAACCUAAUAAGGGGAUCCAUAGAUCGAGUUAAUGCAACCUUAGGGAGUUAAUUAGAAAGAGAUUUCAAUUAUUCAACCUAGGGUUGACGUUGUUAGUCUCGAGAGCGAUAAUAAUAUAACUUAGGGAUCUCUACGGAUCAAGUCAAAUAAAUAAAUCGUCCAAUUCAGAGUCAAAUAACAAGUGAAGUCUAGGUGGAUUUUUCCUUAGGUAUUGUCUUAAUUCAAUCGUUUUUCCAAAAGUAAUUCCCCAAUUCUAUUUUCUGUGAAUUCUUAGUUUAGUUAAUUAGUUAGUUAAAACAAACCCCAUUAUUCUUAGGCUAGAUAAUAAAAAGACAGUCAUUACUAGUACUUUUAGUUCCUUUAGGUUCGACAAACCGGUCUUGCUAAAGCUAUACUACUGUUCGAUAGGUACACUUGCCUUCAUCAUGAUAAUAGUUAGUUUCAAGAACGAUUCAUUAUAAAUAUUUAAAACCUGUCACGAAUAUCAUGUAUCAAUUCACAAUAAAACAUAGAAAAAUAACACGAAGUAAGCUUCAUAGCUUAGUAAGCUCGUAUGUAAUUAACUUAAUUCAUCGAAAAAGUGUAAAUCAACCAAUUUCACAUUAACUACAAACCUUUCUCAUGUCUUAAAACAUUAUUAAAUACCAUCCCAUUAAAAUUUCUCUAUUUAAUACUCGAAUAGGUUCUGUACAUACCCGUUGAACCAUUCGGAAUAGAAAUUAGAUACUCAAUAGUCUCAUAAGAUAAGUAUAUAUACCAUGGUCCAUAGCCAAAUCAAGGUAACUUAUCCGAAAAAACAAUUAUCAUGGCCCGAAGCCAAAUCAUCCGAUAUGCAUGGCCCGAAGCCAAACUGGUAUAACAGUGCUAAUAUCAUGGCACGAAGCCAACUCAACUUAUCAUCUAAUAACAUGACACUAGUAUCCAAAUAUAUUCCUAAAGCUCAACUGGGAUUUCACACUUUCCGUUUCUAUCAUCGAAUGCAUUCGUAAAGUCGUUUUCACAAUUCGAACAUUAUCUAUAAUCUCAUAAUCACAGUUUAUACAAUAUCAAAUCUUUUAACAUACUUUUAUAAUGAAAUUACCACAUACGAACUUACCUCAUAUUCAGAAUUGACAAAUCGGAUCAACAACUCGAUAACCUUACUUUUCCCCCGAUCUAAUUCUGGAUUCCUCUUUUCUUGAUCUAAAUAUAUUAAAAAUUAACUUAUUAAAUCAACCAUUCAUUCAAUUUAGUCCAUGACAUACAUUUAGGCCUAUUUGUACAUUAGCCUCUAAGCUUUCACAUUUAAUCAAUUUAGUCCCUAUUUCACAAAUAUACAAAAUUCACACAAUUUCAAUAAACUCAAGCUUAGUCGAAUUACCAUAGUCCCCCUAGAAGCCCAUAACUUUCAUUUAUUUUCAAUUUUAACCACUCAAUUUGCACAUUUCACAAUUUAAUCCCUAUUAUGCAUUUUCAUCAAAAAUCACUUUACAAAACAUGAAAAUCUAUCGUCAAAAAUUCAUAUUUCAUCUUCAAACAUCAAAGAACACAUAGAUUAAACAAUGGAAACUCUCAAAGUCUUUUACAGUUUUUAAAUUAAAGGUACGGGCUAGCUAGAUUGAGCUGCAACAAUUACAAAAAUAUAGAAAUCAUCAAAAAUCGAGCUAAAGUGGACUUACAAUUGAAUUAUUAAAUGGCCAAAUAUCACAAGCCCUAAAAUGGUUUUCUUCUUUUCUAUUCAUGGUUGAAUAUGAUGAUAUUAGAUAAUGGUCUCAUUUUUUUUAUUAAUAAUAUUAUUAUUAAUCAAAAACCAAUAUUAACCUUAAAUAAAAACCACCAAAUUUCAUGAUAUUAUGCCCAUAAAUGUUCACUCAAUUUAAUUAUGGUCUAAUUAAACCAUAAGGGCCUCUAUUUUAAUAUUCCAUAGCUAUUUAACACCUUUAACAAAUAGAACAACACUUUUACAUUUUACGCGAUUUAGUCAUUUUUCUCAAAUUGACUAUUCAAAUGAUAAAAUUAACUCACAAAAUUUUCACAUAUAUCAAAUAACAUGUUGUAAAUACCAAAAAUAAUAUUCAAAUAAUUUUCCAACAUUGGAUUUGUGGUUCUGAAAUCACUGUUUCGAUUUGACCAAAAACAGGCUGUUAUAGUUCUUGUGUCCCUUAGGGUAGUGGCAUGUAUAUGUGGCUAUGUGGUUUGUUUUGGUACAAUAUGACAAUAUACUAAACUAAGUUGCUAGUUACUUUAUUAAUAUUGUAAAUAGGUAUCUUUUUGGUACAAUUAGUAUGGUAUGAAAUUAAACACUUGUGAUUUGUUCUGGCUCGUGAGUGAAUUAAGUGAUAUGCUAGAAAUGGAUCAAUGUUUACAUGUUUUAGUUGUUAAUGUUGGAUAUAAUUGUUGUGUCUAUGAAGGGCACAAUGGUUGGUUGUUUUUAGGACAUUAAAUGGUAUGUUAUGUUGAGUUACUUGUGGUCUCAAUUGUGGUAUGCUUUAAGAUGAUAUUAAAUUAGUUGUGUAUGUUUUAAAUGUGGUAAUGCAAAUGUUUAGAUAAGUUUGUUUGAUUGUGAUUGAGGUGCCUUAUACGGCAUAUUGGUUGAAUGCAUUUGGUCAUUUGAAUCGGUCAAUUUAAUCAUGUUUUGGUAUGUUUUUGAUGCCUUGGUCAUGGGGGUAAAUUGCUUGUAGGUACACAUUUGGCUUGGUAAUGGAAAUGGCUUGAUUUUGGCCUAUUUCAUGUCCACAUGGCCUAAGACAUGGGCCUGUGUCUUAGCCGUAUGUGACACACAGCCAUGCGACACAGCCGUGUGUCCCCUGUAGGUUUUAAAUGCAUUCAAGUCAGGUAAUUACACGGCCUGGCAUACGAGUGUGUAAGGCCAUUUCAAGUGUUAUACAGCCUAGCACACGGGCGUGUGGCUUGGUCGUGUGACUCAACUCAAAGAGGUACACUUGAGUCACACGGGCACGGACACGUGCUGGGACAUGACCGCGUGUCCCUAUUUCAAUUGUUACACAGCCUGAGACAUAGACAUGUGUCUCAGCCGUGUGAGUCACACGGCUUGGCUACACAGCCGUGUGACCCCUACAGUUCAAUUUUUCUAAAUUUUUCCUGAACUUUUCAAAUGUUUCCAAUUUAGUCCCGAAUUGUUUCUAAUGUAUUUCUAGGGCCUCGAGGGCUCAGUUAAGGGACAAUAUGCAUGUAUAUUAAUGGAUUAUGUUAUGUUUACAUUAAUGUUUGAAAUGUUUUUUUUUAUGUUACAUUUAUAUGGUAAUGCUCGGUAACCCCAUUCUAACGACGGAUACAAGUUAGGGAUGUUGCACUCAGGCACAUAUGGUUUCUCGUUCAACAAUUGCAAUUGUUAUUGGCAAGAUGUUUCAGUUACCGUCUUGUGCAACAACCAACAACAAAUGAUGCUCAUAUCUUCCAUAUACAGAUGUGUUCUCUAUUUGGAAAAAAGGUUUACAAUACCAAAAUGCAUUAUUGUAUAGCUUGAAUGUCAAAAAAAGAUGAUGAAGAUAUCUUUCUUCCUUGGAUUGUUCUAUCUCCAUGGUACGUAGGUGUUAUUUGCAAAUAGAUGAUGGCACCUUAAACGUGUUGCUUUAGUAUGGUCAACCAUUGCUAUAGCUUAUUAUAUGAUUUAUCCCAUUCAGUAUACAUUUUAUCCAUUGCCUUCUGUUUUGCAACCUAUGAUUUAUAAUAAGAUAUGGUGUAACCAUAUUUGCUAUGUAUAUAUUAGCAAUCAAAGUCACCACAAGAAACCUAAUAUUUGUUUUCACCAAAAGUAAGAUAAUGUUAGAGAUAAGGCCAUAAUCCAAUUUCAGAUGAACUUGUGAAAUACCUCAAAUAAUACAAGUAUGUAGAGUGAUAAGUCGUAAUUUAUACAUAUUUUUUAUCUCAUGCUUAGCACAUUUUUGGAUGAAUUAUCAUUAGAUUUUUGGAAUUUGAUGCUCCUAAUCCUUUAAUUUCAUGUUUUAUACUUAGGUGAGCAUAGGAGAGUAAAAAGAGCGAGAAAUGGUCCAAAAAAAGAGAAAAUGGGUCAAUGUGGGAAAUCAACACGGCCUAGACUUCCUCACAUGGGUAGACCACACACCCGUGUCUAUUUAGCAGACUUUAACAUGGCCUAAGCCACCCCACACGGGCGUGGCACAUGGUCGUGUCCCUAUUGAUCCCAAGUCUAGUUCUACUCAAAAAAAGGCCACUUUUGAGGGUUUUAAAGCAUUCUAAAGCCUAUAUAAACACCCAAGGAGGCGUCUAGAGAAAGACACACGAAGUAGGAGGCAAGGAAUUACUCGAAGAAAGCCAAUUAAUCCAUCUCAAAAGCCGGAUUCUCCUUCAAGACUAAAGAUCUCCCUUCAAUUUCCUUCAGGGUUUUUUUGGGUUUCUUUAUGUUUUGUUAUUAUUAUUAUUCUGAGAUGUUUUCUUUUACACAUAUGAACUAAAUUCCCUAAAUACCUAAGGGGGAUGAAACCUAAAACGGAUCUUGUUACUAUUUUCUAAAUUAUAUGAUAAAUACUUGAUUUGUUCUUAAUUAUGUGCUCUUAAUUCUUGCUUUAAUAUUCCAGGACAUUGAUUCAAGUAUUGAUGUGCUUAUUCAGAGGAGCAAAAGUCUCUGUUUAAGUGUAGAUCUAGCAUAAUUAAGCGGAGUUGAUUGCACCCCUAGACAUAGGGCGACAUAAAUCUGCCGGAUUAGGGUCAAACCUAAUAAGAGAAUCCAUAGAUCGAGUUAAUGCAACACUGGGGGUUUUAAUUAGAAAGAGAUUUCAAUUAAUCAACCUAGGGUUAGAUGUUGUUAAUCUCGAGAGAGAUAAUAAUAUAAAUUAAGGAUUUCUACGGAUCGAGUUAAGUGAAUAAAUCGUCUAGUUCAGGUCAAAUAACAAGUGAAGUCUAGGUGGAUUCUUCCUUGGGUAUUGUUUAAAUCAAUUAGUUUUCCCAAAAGUAUUUCCCCAAUUACUUCAUGUGCAUUCUUAAUUUAGUUAAUCAGUUUAGAUAAAGCAAAUCCCCUUAUUUUUAGGCUAAAGAAUAAAAAAAUGUUAAUACUAGUACUUUUAGUUCCUGUGGGUUCGACAUUCUGGUCUUACUAUAAGCUAUACUACUGUUCGAUAGGUGCGCUUGCCUUUAUCGUGAUAAUAGUUAGUUUUCAAGUACAAUCAAUCAUAAAUAUAAAACUUAUUACGCACAUCAUGGAGUGUUAUUUUUCUUUAUCGUCCACAACCGUAUCUUCUUCCUCAUUGAUGCCAUGAUUUUUUUAGGAACAUCCAUUGUCAGGUUUUCUGCGUUUCGCCUCAUAUUUAUUUGAUCAAGAUUUUUUAACUUGGAAAUUAAACUCAUUCUUAAUGUUGUAUUGCUUUACUACAAAAAUAAUAGCAUGUUUGCUGGAAAACCCCAUUUCUAAUUGCAAAUUGUCUAAAUUUGUAGAACUCGCAUGACCUGAUUUUCUAUGAGGUAGUUAUGGAAAUUCUAACAUAUGUUGAGAAUCAAUGUCAACAUUCAACACGUGGUAUGGAGGUUCAUAUGGCCUGAAAUCUUCUUAGGUUCUUCUUGCAUUGUUUGGAACUUCAUUAUUAGAACCACUCCCCUCUAGUACAGAAAGAACGACCUUUAGUUUAGAAAAUAAUACAAUUUCAGAACCAUCAGGGUCACACUCCCAGAUUAGGUCAUCAUUAGUUUCAUCACUUUGUGCUUCCUCUUCAUUAUCAACCCGAGUUGUUAAAUUAUCUAUUAGAUUGGAUGUCCUUCGUUAGUGUAGGGAGUAGAGAAAACAUCAUUCGUUUUUGGAAAGCCUACAUUAAAUUCAAAAUUACUUAUAGAAUGUCUUCCCAUAAAAUUUGAUGGCAUAUCCACAUAAGAGUUUGGAGCAUAGGACAUACACAUAUCUAUGUUGAAAUUAAAUGUGCUCAAAGAAUUUCGUGUUCGAAUCUUUGCAUUCAGGUUACCAACUACCCCCAAUAGUACACUAAAGCUGCAAUCGAAGACUACAACAAAUGAAUGUCUUCCUAUUGAUGAUUCUAACAUUCCUUGAUAUUAGCUUUGCAACAACCCAUGGAACUACCAUACAACUAUGUUGUUGGACUUUAUGCUUCAUGUUCUUGACCAAAAGCAAGAACUAUAUUAACUAGAGAUGCUGAUAAACUUGGACCACCUUUGGCUACUGUCAAAUUGGGCAUAAAACUCUACUAUAAUAUUCACAGUUGAGCAGUACACAUCAAUUAUUAACUUGACAUAUGCGUCGUCAUUUAGCUCAAAUGUAUCAUAUUUUACAGGGUUUAUUGAUGUUAGGUAUCUAUAUUUCAAGCUUGAAAUUCUCCUCCACUCGUACUUGAGACUUUUCUUCUAAUUCUUGACAGAAUUUAGUUCAAUUUGACGCUCUUAUUAAAAGCCAAAUCCAUAGGUCGAGUAUAUACAAAAAUGACCCCAAUUUUGGUAUCACGAAUUUGAUCGUCGUAAUAAAUAAUUUCUCUAAUUCUUUUACUCAUCUUUGGAAAAAAAACCUAUUUAACACACAACAGAAAAAAUAUACAUUAUAAUAUUAUACAAAAAUAAAUAUUUAUUAUUAUUUUGAUAUCUUGUUACAAUAUAAAUUACUAACACAUAAAUAUGUAGUUUAAAAAUUUUGAACCAAAUUUUAUAAAUAAAGUAACAACGACAAAUAAUUAUUUGCUUAUUUGAACUAAAUUAGUCUAUUAGGGUGAGUUUCCAAAUUAUGCUGCAGCAACUUCGAACUUUGUUCAAGCAAAUGAAUAUAACAAUUUCAAAUUUUAAACAACACUCUUUCUCCUCAACAUGCAAAUUUUCCCCUCGAUAUGUAUCUUAACUUUGAAAAACCUCUCUAUUUUAUAGGAAGACUCUACCACCAUAUAUGAAACAUAUUUCAAAAUGUUGAAAAAGAUUGAGCAUGACUACACAAAUCAAAAAAAUGCUUCUUUUUAUGUUUGGGAUUCUCGACUUCCAUUUUAUAGGAAGGCUCUACUAUUUGAUUUCUUAUAUGGAAAGGCUGAAUUAAAAAUGUUUGAUAGAGAAGAUAUCCCGAGAUUCUUGGGAAUAAAAUCAUUAAAUUUAUCUUUUGCUUCUUUUUGUUUCAUAUUUCAAUUCAACGGUUGUAUUUUUUUCAUCUAAAGGCUGAAUUUCAAAAAUUUAUGGGACUAUCAACAUGGCGUCCUACAAGGAAAAAGCAUGUCCUAUAGGACACGCUUUCCCUAAAAAAAAGUUACUUACAAGGUGCACUUUUACCUUGCAGGACGCCACGUCGACAGAAAUGUUCCCAACAAGACACACUUUUACCAUAUGUCACACAACCAACCAAAAAUAUUUAUUUAUCUAAAUAAUAUAAAACCCAAGCUAAACCCCUAAUUUUAUAUAAGUUAAAAAAGUAUACUUUUACCCUUUUGUCUACAAUAGUUAUAUAAAAUUAAUUUUAAAGGUAUUUUUGAACUUAAUCAAAUCAAUUCAUAUUAGAAGUAUACUUUUCUCUUUUUGGGGCCGACAAACCUUUUUUUUUUAUAUGACACAAUAUAAUUUAAAAAAUUAAAAUAUAAUAAAAAUACCAUCAAGAUGAUGAUGAUAAUAAUAAUAAUAAUAAUAUGACAUGAACACAUACAUUAUGAAGCUCUCUACAAGGUUUAAAAUCAAAUAUCAAAGAACUACUAGCAAUCAAUUGUACAGAUACAUAAUGAAGCAGCCAGACAUCGGAUCUUCACAAACACGUAUAACAUUACAACCACUGGAAAAUUAGCAAAAAGACCAUAUAUAAAAAUAGAAAAGAAAAUGUAUAGAACACAAUCUAAUUGGUCAGGCCUUCAGUGAACUUGACGCCGGUUGCCGGCAACCAUGAACGUCCGUUAAGGAACCUACCAACAGUGAAGGAAUUAGCAGUGGCAGCAUCUCGGAUAAUGUGGUAACCAGGCCAUUUAACCCGUCCAGAUAAUGAAGAACCAGGGCCAUAGUUCCUAUACUCACCAUACCAAAGUGUGUUCAAGGCGAAGUCGCCAUACCACUCAAGCCACCCUCUAGGGUGCACCAUACCACCCAUGUAAGUAUUCAUAAAAACUGUCCUCGAAUAUGGCUUCCAUGGCCUCCCUAAGUAAGUCGGUUGGGUGGCUAGAAUAUAGCUAUUCUGAAUCGAAAAGCCAGUGUUCUGAUUCGGGCUUUUCCGCCCCUGAGCGGUAACCGUCACCUUCUGAAGUGGCAAAGGAACUCGAGUGAAUAUCUUGCAGUUCUGGAGAACAGCUGCACCAUUGCCAAAAAUGAAGUCUAUGGUGCCAUAAAUGUUGCAUUCUCGAUAAAAUUGGCGGAGGGAGUGAACGUAGAGGGUAUCCUGAUACCCUUCGAUACUGCAACGAAAGAAAGCCGAUUGAUCGGAAUCCACUCGGAGAGCCACCGCCUGGUGGUUCUCUGGUCCGGCCGUGUUUCGGAACGUUAUGUCUCUUGCUAUAAAUCCCUUUCCAGAAACAGCUGCAAGAAUCAAGUUUCAGAGAAUUGUAUGAAAAGAUCAAAAGCGCAAGGAAUAUUACAAAACUUGGAAACUUUUAUAUUCCAGAAAAAAGCUUGAUGAAGCGUGUGCAAUCAUAAAUGGAAUUUCACUUUACAAAAGUAAUACUUCAUUCAGUCAUUCAUAUAAUUAGGCUAAUUGAAUGCUUAAGUUCCAUGAAAAUUUAAUCAGAAUUGAUAAUAUUUACCAACAGUGGCAGUUCGAAAUGUUGUCCAUCCUUGCAUGAAAUUCCGGUCCGCUGUGACUACAGUUUGUCCAAUUCCAUCACCGACAAGCAUAAUAUUGGUUUUCUUCUUCUUCAUGUCAAUGUUCUCCUUGUAAACUCCCUUCUUCACAUAAAUGACGUACCUCCUAUUAUUAUAACUUGGAGCUUCAUUAAUGGCAUCGGUUAUCGUCUGAUAACGUCCACUACCAUCUAACGACACAACGGCAUCUGCAUGCAUGCGACUUGAAUGAUUUCGUAGAAGCUCUUGAUCACCAUCGGUUAUCCAUUCCGGAAAUUUCGAGCUCGUAUACGUGGAAGUGCUAUUGCGGGGUGGUCGAAAAGGCAAGGUAUGCAAUUGAGUGUACAUAGCUAAAACAUUGCCGAUGAGUUGCGUAACUUGUUUCAGGCUGCCUCUGAUGAAGCUCUCAAGGUGUCGGUCGGUACCUUCGAAGCCUUCGAGGCAGGUAUCUUGGUUACUCAACGCAGCACUUAACCAAGCUUUGAGGUUGCCUUCAUAUUCAGCACUUGUAUCACCAUCACGAAUCUUUCUCAUCUCAGUUAAAGACCAGGCCAACUCGGAUACAGAGAAAUCAAGGAGUUCCUUGCAAUCUUCAAUGGCAAUUUGUUCACGAUAACUGACAGACAAACCAGUGAACCUUGUCAUCGUUUCAAUGGCCUGUCUGGCUUCAUUCAGCGUGGUCCUUAGUGCAGAAUGCAAAACAGAAGAUGGGGCGUGAGGCUCCAAGUUUUGAAGGUGAGUUUGAAUAUUUGAGAGGCAUAAAUCACGGUCAUCAAUGCCUUCACAAGCCUGCAUGAGCAAUGGUUGAGUGUUUAAGUUGUGUUGGACAUCAGAUAAAACUUGAGAUGAAGGUAAGAGUAAGAGAAUAAUAAGAAAAAAAUUGGGAAAGGCCAUUGUCUAAGGAGUUGAAGGAGAGAGGAAGGGAAUUGUGGGUUUUGUUUUUACAGAGAACGUAAAUAUUUUUAUAAUGCAAAGAACUAAGGUAUUGUUUGCUUUGAAAGAAAGGAAAUGAGGUUUGAGUUAUGAAAACAACUAGGUUUAUGCUUUUCCCCUCACCAAGUUAUGCUUUCUUUUAAGAUUCUAUCUUUAUAUUUUGUCUUGUACUGUUGCGGUGGGACGUUGGGUGAGGAAAGGCGGGGGGUAGGGGAGGGGCGGCGGUGAGGAGAGAAAAUGUAAUUUGAUUACAAUAUAUACAAAAAUAAUGUGUUCAUGAUUUCACCUUGAAUUAUUUUAAUGGAUUAGCAUGCACAUUCAACACCCUCUCAUGUUUUAUUAUAAUUUUUGAAUUAUCUACUAUCAAAUUCUUAGAAUUAUAUUUUUGAUGACUAAUAUAUUAUGGAUCUGCUCUCUUUUUUUUUAUUGUCUAAAAUACAAUGUACAUAAAUAUUUAUAAAAUAUCAUAAAUUUAAUUUUAACAAAUAACAAAAGAUAGUCCUAUUUUUAAUUUAUACGUAAUUUGUUUACAAUUUUUUUAAAAAAAAUUAAAAUACUUUUUUUGAUAAAUUUAUUUAGAGUUUCAUUUAUAAAUUUAUUUUUACUUUAAAUCAUGCAUUUAAAAUUAUUACACGAAAUUUGACUAACAAUGUAAUCAAUAACAAUUUUUAUUUUUAUUUUUAUUUUUUUGAAAAAUUCAUCAGACUAGGGUUUUAUAAAUCAAGCCAAAUAAAAAACCCAAGCGCAGGUUCCAGAAACAGAACAAAGGAAAAAACUAAAAACCAACAAAACUUAAAAGAGCGGCUGACGAAUAGCAGACAUCCUAAGACCCAAAAACAACAAAUAAAGAAAAAUCUAGAAGCAAAUUAAAUGAAACAAAGAAACCCUACUAAGAUUAGUACACACUCCUCAGUAUUAAACGCUAAUUUAGCAUUAUAUUUAAAAAAUACUUUUAAAAAGUAAUUUUUAGAAUUACUUUUAAAAAUUUUAAUUUAAAAUUUAAGUGUUUAGUAUUAGUGUCAAAAAAUACUUUUGAGAAAUAAAAUAUUCAUUUUAAACAUAGUAUUAUAAAGUAAUAAAUAUACAUUUAAAUACUAUUCAAAUUAGUUAAUAUUAUGAUAUCUUACUAAGAAUAUAAAAAAUCAUUUAUUAUGACUUAUUGUUAAUAUUGUAAUAUAUGAAAUAAUAAUUUUAAAUAUUUUUAAGUAAUUAAUAUUAAUUAUUUAUAAAUAUUAAUAUAAUUGUAUUACUUUAAAAAAAUAUUUUUUAAAAAUUUUUAAUUAAUAAUUUUAACACAUUUGUAUUAUUUUAAUUUGAAUAUAUAACCAAUAUCAAAUAUUAGCAUAACAGAGAAAACAUAGACCUAACAAAUUAAAAUAUUACAUGCAUUUGAAUUAAAGUUUCAAAGAGGGGUAAUAUUUAUAUACCAAAUACAUCAUCAAAAAUUUUACAUUAACAUUUACAAUUUAAAGUGAAUUCAUUAAACUAGAAGCUAUAACAUCUCUUAUUAAUUCCAUUUCAAAACCACUUGAAUUUGUUGAUUCACCACCACCAUCAUCAAGAUGAUCACUUGGCAAAGAAAGGUAACUUGCCUGUAAAACAAUAAAAGAAAUAGAGAUCAUAACUUGCCUGUGAGUCAAAGCCUUGGCAAGUUAAUAAUAUUCUAGUAUUUCCUAGCCCCUGUCAUAAAAUAUCAAGAAAGUGAAGAGGUAAGGAUGAUUUCCUGUUUCCCGCAAUUCAUAACCUUUUUUGCUACAAGUUAGAAACUAUCCAGAGAGGUAUGCAAUAAAGACAGAGCAAUAAAUAAUUUGUCCCACAUCAUGCAAAAGCAAUCUUGGAUGCAAGCACAUCAAUUUUCAGAUUUCUAUCUCCCAAACCAAAAGGAAAUAAUGGAGUGAUAUAGGUCUCGGGAACUAGAAAUUUCAAGAAAUGAACUCAACAUGGCUAUGACGUGUUCCAAAGGUUUCGAUCAGAUUCAGUCUCAUCUUAUGCCUUGACUGUAGUCUCACCACACCUCUCCCAAUCAUUGCCUCCAGUAAAUGCCAUCUUACAGGAAGAAGGACAAGUUAUUAAGUGCAAUACCAAUUAAACAACACAUCUAUCUGAAUUUGUUUUUACUUUUUUUGCUCACCAGUCCUCUUACUUUAUCUACAUAUCACUCAUGUUGCGUUCCAAGUUAAAAUACUUAAAAAGAAAAGAAAAAUCUGCAGUUAGAAGAAGCCAUAGGACCAAAUCAUUCACCUACUUCCUCACGAGAGAAAUAGGUAAAUUUGAAUGCAUAAAAUUGAUAAACCAUCAUGAAACAAUCCACAAAUUUAUAUGACUAUAUCAUACAACAAGUUAAGUAGGAAAAUUCUAAUGACAUUACGCAAAAUAAAUUCAUAUUAUACGUACAAAAGAGUAUUCCACUAAAAACGAUUUAGAAUGAGCUAACUCAAAUUUAAAAUUUAACCCUGUCCAUAUUUGUAAUAAUUAAUUCAAUGGUUAACUCAUAUUUUUAAACUAUUUAUAUUAUUUAAUAAUUAUAUAUUUUAUUUAUUAAAAUUUUAUAUAUAAUUAUUUUAACAAUUGUUUAAAAGUUUAUAUUAUAUAGAUUUAAUUUUUGUAGUAUAAAUUAAGUAAUAUAUAAAAAUAACUAAUAUAAAAAAUUACAAAUUUCAAAAUGGAUUGAAUUAAGCCCAGGCUUUGAAUGUUUAAAUUUAAACUUGGCUCAUAUUUUAAUCAGGUUUAAUUUGGGCAUAAUAUUUUUGCAAAGAGUAAAGUUUUCAAACUUAGAUAGAUAAUCUAAAUGUAUAUACUAAAAUAGAAAAAAUUGACUCAAACUAUACUCUUUUAUAAUCUAAAUUACUAUAAUUGUAUUACGAGUUUUAGUUCGGGUACGGGUUAUGUUAUUGCCACUUCCAUCUCUUCAACAGUUGAUUGAUUGAAAGUAAAGAGAAAUGUAACAUUAAUAAGGAAUCAAAAGGUUUGGGUUGAAAGUAUAGGUGUAGUUGGGGUUUUGGGCUGAUUGUAAGUUGUGAGGGGAUAUCUCUAUUGGUUUGUUACAUGCUUUACUUAUCUGAAAAGUUGACAUAUCUUAAUGUAAUGCAACCCUAGGUGCAACUACUUUCAUAAACCCGUUUUUGCUGAAUAUAACAUAUGACAAGUAUAUCAUUUUAAUAUUUUUCAAUUUUUUUCCUUCUUUAAAAAUCGAAUAAAUUAAAAUUACCAAGAUUUUUCAUUUGCUUUCUUUUGAUGCUUCAAUUCUUUCCUUAAUUCUUUAUAAUUUUUUCUAGUCUUUAUCUUACUAAAAUAUAACCCUAAUCGCAGCCCAAAGCCACCACCUCAGUUUGCCACCCCAAAACCUCCCCGUUAUCUCCGAAAUCUUAGAUUUUCAAGAACCGAACUACAACUUUUGGAAACCCCAAUUAGAAAAUCUCGAUCAAUUAUUCCUUUUUUAGCUUCACUAGUAUAAAAAGAUAGUGCAAAAAAUUGUUCAAAAGUCUCAACCUUUACCAACUACAAAAACUUUACAAAAUUCUGUGUAAUUUUAUAAAAAUAAUUUAUUAUCAAAUAACAUAUUAAAUAUUUAAGCAUUAUACUCCUAGAAAAUUAAGCAAUUAAAAGAUUAUUUCAUCAUCAUUUGAAUCUAUCUGUGAUUUUUCUACUACAUGCACGCCUUUCUUCAAAUGUUUAAAAAUAAAACCAUAUAUAAAACACAAUUCAGAUGCUCAAGGGAAGAACUAAAAUUUGACACCAGAAAACUUGGUUUGUUUCAAAAUAGAUAAAGAAAGCCAUGGCAACAGUUAAUAAGCUUGCAAAUAAAUAACCCCCCCACCUGAACAGAAAACUUCUAAAAAGAAGAGAGAAAUUUUAGUUCCCUCAGAUCAGAAUGAAUCCAAAAGAUAUUUUAAUCACUGGAUUAUCAGCAUUAGCAUGGUUUAAAAGCUAUCAUAGGGAACAUUUUUAACACCAACACACAUAAAUAUUAAAAAUGAAAAAUAGAGGAAAUUUUCAAACUAAAAAAGAGGGCUCAGAUAAAUGUUGGAUUAUGAUUCAAUUCCCAGACCUUUUCAAAAGGUCUCAUAGAGCUGGGAUUAGACAUUCAUCAUCAUCGACGACAUAUAGAUAAAAAAAACCGGGUAAACAAAAGGCGAAUUAAACAAUCAAAACAAUUCUUUUUUCCUCUUUGAAGAAAAUUCAUAAAACCAGAAAAAUAGAUAGAAGAGAUGAACAAGAGAAGGCGGCGUCUAUCGGUUGAGAGAGCCAGAUAUUUAAAGGGGAAGAAAUGAGAAGGUAUAGGGUUUAAUUUUAGGUAUUAUGACAAAUUUAACCUUUUACAUCUUCUAUCAAUGGUAGGCGGCGGCCAACGGUUAAGAUAGCCAGAUAUUUAAAGGGGAAGAAAUGAGAAGGUAUAGGGUUUAAUAUUAGGUGCAAUGACAAAUUUAACCUUUAAUUUUUAUAUUUUUAUUAAUUUGGUAUUUAUUUUUUAUUGAAUUUUAUUCUCAAUUUCUUUAAAAAAAAGUUAAAUUUUACUAUCAAUUUUUUAAAAACAGUUUAAAUGUUUUUUAAUGAAAAUGUUGACUAGUGUUAAAUUUUUAAAUAUGACCGUUCGUAUUCACGUGUACUUAAUAUUUUUCUUAAAUUUAUGAUGUAUAUAUAAAAAAUAGUAUUAUGUUAAUAUAUUACACAUAUAUUGUCACACUAAUAUCGUUAAAAUUUUUAAUUAAAAUUUUAUUAAAAACUAGUUUAACUUUUUGUGAAAGAAAAACAGUUAAAUUUAGUUCAAAAAUAAUAAAAUCGAAAUUCUAAAAAAGUUAAAUCUUUUUAUUUUAAUGAUGGUUGUAGCCAAGUAUUGGAUUCCCAAAGGCUAGAAUGAUUUUUGAGUAAAUAAAGGGGUCCAAUAGCCCGGAUCUAUAUUCUGUUUUAUGGUACAUAGAGUUUAUAAAUGAUAGAUUUGAUAAUGGGUCGGGUCAUUCAAUCCGGCCUAAAAGUUCGUUAAAAAAGUGAGAGAGUUCAGGCAAAAGUUUAAGUUCGAAAGAUGAGUUUAGGCAAAAAAUGAGACUCGUUUUUAAAACGGGUUGGACCUCGAUUACAAAUUUUUUUUUUGGGCUCGACCUGGACCGACCUGGAUUUGUAAUACUAAUUUUUUAAUAUUAUUUUUAAUAUUCAUACUAAGUUACUGAGAUUAAUUUUUUAAUAGUUGAUUGGUUAAUUUAUAAAUAUUUUUUAAUAUCAUUUUUGUAAUUUUUAUAAAUAAAGUUUUAAAUAAAUAUUAAUAUUAAUAUUUUAAAAUUUUUUAUUUAAAUAAAGUAUAAAACUACUUAAAUUUAAUAUACAAAAUAUAAUUAUUUGUAAUUUGUUUAAAAGACUGUUUAUAUAGAUUUUUAAUUUAUAAAUAAAAAUAAAAAUUAAAAGAUUGAAACGAAAAACAUUGAGAUAAACUGUUUGAGAUUCCUUUUAAUAUUUUACCAUAAAGAAACUAAUUAAAUGUGGUCUGAAACAGCAUUAGUUAAAAUUAGGGCCGGAACCAUCAUCAACAAUCAAAGUUGAGGCAGAGGAGUCAUAUGGCAAAUCAAACCCAUCCAUUUUCAAGCCUGAAACAGCAGAAAACCCGAAUCCUGGAUUUCCAUGGGCACGAGGGCUGCGAAUAUCACCCACCUCUUCCCCUAAAAACAUCCUGCGGCAUGUUGAUUGUAGCAAAAACAUGUUCCAUGAAACUAAAUUUUCUUUUAAUGAUAAAUCAGUAUUGUAACUGAAACAAACUGUAAUCAACUAAAAUGGAUGAUAUAUUGCAUGAAUAACGCACAAGUUGACUAGAAAGAAAGAAAGAAAGACUCCUUAUGAACAGCAUUCCUCGACGUUAUUGCUGUCACAUAUGAUUGGUGGUUGUCUGUUGCUUUGGCCUAAGCUCAAUCCCCUCCACAACUAGCCCUCCUUUAAGGUGCGUUCCUGUGACUUCCUUUAGUGACAUCUUUACUUCUAAAUCAUCACCUCCAUUAUUAUAAAAACUUCCCAAUUCAAUCUCAAUCCAUCCAUCUUCACGUUUGCAAGCAACCCUUUCUUCCAUUAUCCCUCUAAAGGCCAUUGAUCUUAGAACUAAUUCCAUCCGGUUCGAAUACCAGAGUGUUUCUAAACAUUGUUUCUUACUUUCGUAUUGCCGUAGAUAAACAUUCCCUUCUGAUUUCGCAUUUCCAAUUUCCACUGUAACUUUUGAUGGCAAAAAAUCUAACCCAUAUGCACGAUCCACAAAUUUCACAAUAACAUAACACUCGUAGGUUGUUUUUGGAGACAGCAUACCAGAAUUGAUCUUGCCUUGGAUUUCCAACCACCAUAUGGUUCGAAGUUCUACUGCUACAACAAACCUGGGAAUGAAAAAGUAGUUUAAACGGUUGGGACAAUGAAAGGGAGAGGUUUAAGAUAAAAGAAAUUGAAUAAAUGUGAGAGACCUUGAUGCUGGGAAAGGUUUCCAGGACCAGAAGAGAGGGUUGUCGGCCCAUGCUAUGUUCAACUCCCUUGCACUCAACAUAUAUUGUUUUUUACCUGUUGUCUUCUCUAAUGAAAACGUCUGUCAAAUAUUGCAAAAUUAUAUCUCUCUCAUGGGUUGCCAAGUUUUCAUGGUGUUAUUGAACAAUAGCCAUCCAAGUUGAGAAAUCAUGGAUCUCUUAUUUGACCUGGCUAUUGGAAGGGGGGCAGUUUACCAGGGUCAUGUUUUGCAUCCACAGGCGGGUGGAACAAAUAUGAAUUUUUACAUUAAAGAACUCAUAUUUGAUCCACCACCUGUCAACAGAAAAACAACCUUGGUCAAACUGUUUUUGUUUUGUUUUUUGCAUUAAUUCCUCCGAACUCAGAAUUUAUGAAUUAAAAAGCAGAUUGCAUAUUUGCAUUUGCUGGCACCUGCUUUCUAUGGAUCAAUGAUAGCUCUCCAUUGAUACAUGAAUGAAUGGUGGGAGCAGACAUAUAGUAAGCCUUCAUAUACUUUUUCAGAAGGUGGUAAAUAGUUUUAAAAAAAAAAUUCUUAAUAAAAUAACUACUUUAGUAAACUAAUGAAUAAUGUCGCAUUAACUUGUUAGUUUUGAAAAAAAAAAAAAAACCCUGAAAUUAAAAUUGCUUUACCUUAAGGCCUCCAUCAAUUAGAUGUGGGUUACAUAACCUGAAGAACAAGUGUUUUUUGGAGGAGAAAAUUAAAGGAUGGCAUAGCCUGGUGAGAAUUUGUUGAUAAUCUGGUGGCAGGAAUUUUUCCCAAACACUGUCGGAAUUAGCUGAAAUCCGAAUGGAGGAAGAAACAAGCGAGAUUCGACAGGCAUCAAUGGGAGAUGUGAGGGAAAGAAUAUGUGCAAAGCAAUCAUCAGGUAAAAGAUCUAAAUUCAUGAUUCAAAAGCAAGAAGAAAGGUAUGAGGUUUGAGGGGAUGGAUGUUUGUAUAUAUGCGAUAUAGUGAAGGACUGAAAUGCAUCGUUAAUAUGACAACAUAUUCUUUGUUGGAGUUUGCUUUACAUGACGACAUGACCACAACAUAUGAGCACAUCAUGUAAUACAAUAUUGUAGGAUAUCGGCCAUCUAAUAUUGAAAUUUGAAAUGAUCCCAAUUUGGGUUUUAACAUAUACUGUCAAAUUCAUCAAAUUGUGGGGUAGUUUUUUAUGUCAAAGUUGAGCUGCCAAGAAUUCUGCUCUUUGGAACCAUUUCAUCACAUUUAGUCGACACCAUCAAAAUUGGAGAAAAAGUUGGAACAUAUAAAAUCUUGACUUAAUAUUCAAAAUAAAAUAAAAGUAUAAAUUAAUUUUGGUUGGAAUUAUUAAAGAUAUUGUCCAAAUCGAUAUGAAUGGUAGGAUACUGGUCUGGUCCUUUUCUAGAUACAUCCAAUUGUUGUUCAAUCAAAAUUUCUGUCAUUGACAUCCGAGUGGAGAGACCAAAAAUUUACUCCUAUCCCAAUAUCUUUCUUUAAUUCUAAGAUAGUUCAUUGUCUCCAUCUCCAAAAAUGCGUGUGAAAAGUGAAUUUGAGGGUAAUCUUUGGGAAGAACUCAACCCAAACUUCUUCCACAAAUAUGUGGGGACUAGUAUUAAAGGAAAGUUUAAAUAAAUAAUGUGUUUAUUUGUAGUUAGCAUAAAUAUAAUGGUAAUAAUAAUAUUACAUAUUGUAACAAUAUUAUAACGUAAAAUAAAAAAUAAAUUAAACACAUCACACUAUACUCUACCAUCCAUUCAAAUCCAUCCUAAAUAAUUUAAGUUUAAUUAUGAAUAAACCAUUUCAAUGUGUCAUAACACAUUGGUUUGCCAUUUGUUGGACUUUCAUGUAGAAAUUAAUAUGUUGUAAUAAGUGUUACAACGGAACUUUGAAGCAAAAUAUUAUAAUAAAAGAAUUAAAGUGUAAAAUGGGAUUAAGAUUAUUUAAGCAGUUUGAAAAGUAAUUUUAUCACUUCAAAGUUUUAACUUUAAGAAUGAAUCUAUUAAUUUUUUUUUAAAUACAACUAAUGAUUAAAGCCUUAGUUAGUGGCAAAUUUUGAUGCUAAGUUUCGGGAGACUAAUAAAACUUUUAAAAAUGUUAAGAUUUUAAUGAGAAUUUUUUCUUUAAAAAAAAUAAGGGGUUUAAUUGAAUUUUUUUUGUAAGAUUAAUGAAAAUUAAAAUUUUUUAAAAAUUUCAAAAAAAGAAAUCAAAAUUUUGUAUACCAAGACCUUCAAGAGAAUCCACCUUUGGCCCUAACUUGCUUAAAACUAGACUUGUCCAUGGGUCGGACCAUUCGGCUCGGUCUAAAAGUUCUCUCGAAAAAUGAGAGUGUUUGGGUAAAAAUAUAGGCCCGAAAAAUGGGAUUGGGAAAACAAUAAGGCCCGUUUAGAAUACAGAUCGAGCCUCCAGCAAGGCGUUUUUGGCCUGGCUCUAAUAUGCAAAAAAAAUUGAUGUUCUUUUUUACUGCUUUCUUGUUGUUUUUUUAUUGUUUUUUUUCUACUAUUUUGCUACUAUUUUACUAUUAUGUUGCUACUAUUUUGUUGUUAUUAUUUAGAUAUUGUAUUACUCUUAUUUUAUUGUUAAUUUUGUUACUAUUUUAGAGGUAUUUGCUUAUUAAGUUGCACCUAUUUUAGUGUUAUUUAAGUAUACAUAUUAUUUUUUAAUUUGUUGGGAAACAUUUAUUUUAAUGUUUUUAGUAUUUUUGAUGUAUUAUAUUUUUUAAAAAAUUAUAUAAAAAAAUUAAUAUGACCGAGUCGAGCCCAGGUUUUAGUAUUUUAGACCCAUUUUUUGGACCAAACCAAACCCGAACCUAACAAAUAAGUCUAAAACUUUAAUUAAACCCGACCUAUGAACACCUCUACUUAUAACACGAAUACAAAAAUAGCCUCACUAAUAUACAAUUGCUUGCACCAACUUUACCUAGAUAACUUACAAGUGAAUGAAAACUCUCCACUAAAGCUUAAGCUAUCAAAAAUUAAACUACCCUAAAAAUGUUCUCAAAAUGAAUUGAAUAAAGCUCUUAAAAACCAUUGCUAAGUAUAAGUCCACGGUGGUACAUGUGACAUUUAAACUUAUACAAUAUCAUCUUAGCUUGUAUUUUAAACUUGGUUAAUUAAUAUUUGUGGCUUGCACUCAAUUAUUAUUUUGGUAUCUAUAAUUUUUUUUUUGAUAUUUAAAUUUUUUAAUUAUGUAUCACUUUAUCCUAGCUGUUAACGCUGUUAAAAAAAUGAUAUGGCACGUCACUCAGUUUAUAUUUUUUAUUUUGAAUAAAUUAGAAAAUAGAAAAAAUAAUAAGAAAAAAAUCUCAAAUUUUAAAAAAAAAAAGAAAACUAUUAAAAAUGUUCCAAAAUUUUAAAUAUAUAUUUUAUUUUAAAAAUAUAUAAAAUAGAAAAGAAACACAAAAAAUCCAAAAAAUAAAAAAAGUCAUAAAAAUCUCAAAAAAAAAUUUUGAAAAAUAAAAAAAUAUAUAUAGAAAAUUUCCAAAAAAAUUAAAAUAUGAUUUAGUGACUGUUAUUCAGGAAGACAGCUUGCAGUGAAAUUAUGAUUAUGUGGUAAACAGUGACAAAAAUUUGUUAAUGAGUUGCUUAUUGAUUUCUUAUAAGCUUACUAUGAUCUGUAGGUGUGGUUGGCCGAAUAUUAUAAGGGGUUAAUACGUAGUUUGUAUUUGAAUAGUUAGAUUAACGUGUUAGUAAUCCAAUUGUAGGCGGUUCGUGUGUGGAUCUCGUCAGCAUAUCGUCGCAAACAGGUGUGUAACUAACACCCUCUUUCUUAGUCUGGUUCGGCAAAAGUUGAAAAGCCGAAAUACCGAAAACCGGUAUUUUGUAGAUUUGCGAGUGUGCGAAUGCUCAUGAGGUAAACCGAUUAAUGUUUUUGGUAAGCUGCAAAAUUUGGACUGCAAAGUGCAUGAUUUCUGUGCCCUCGAUAUUUUUGGGCUUAAUGGGCCAAAAUUGGAAUGAUGGGCCAACGGGCCCAAUUCGGUAAGAACCCUCGGUACGUGAUUCUGUUAGUACGUGAAAAGUAGGAAUAUGCAUGAAAAACCCUAAAAUAAAUAAAUUACUGAAAUACCUUUAAAAGUGGAAAAUUUACAGUUUUACCCCUAGUAGAUAAAUUACCGAAAUAUCCCUAGGGUUAAAUUGACCUAAAUGCAUGUUUGACUGUUGUUAUUUACUGCAUGCCAUGUUGUUAUUAUCUGAUGCAUGGGAUUGGGAUAUUGACGGAGGAAGUACUGAAAGUGGCUUGUCCACGUACUGGAGACUUUGCCUCAAUUUACUGUUAACUGAGCAGCAAGGCUGCAACUGUGGAGUGUUGGGCUGGGUGGGUUGAGCUAUUCCCCACAUGGAGUGUAGAGCUGGUACGGGUGGAGUGUAGUGGUUGGUGGGUUGAGUAGUCUCCCCAAAUGGGCUUGCAUAUGUUAUUGAUGUUGCAUGUAUUUUAAAAUGGGCCUAUGGGCCAUACUGUUAUCUGAAUAAGGGGCUAAGGCCCAGUUUAUUGUAAUCUGAAAAGGGCUCUGGUCCAGUACCACUGUUACCUGAAUGGGCUUAGGCCCAAUAAGCUUGAGUUGGCUUGGGCUUUGAAUGGGUUUUCCUUACACACUGAGUUUCCCCAAACUCACCCCUUUUAUUUUCAUCCACGCAGGAAAUCCCCAACCAUAGUGGGCUUGGAGCUGUGAGGGAAUUCGGAGUGGCCAUCCGUUCUGAAAGUUUGGUUUUCUUUUGGUGAACUGGACAUCCUAUUAUUUACGUUGAGGUUUGGGUUUUUAAAUGUAAUAAGGCCGCUUAAUUAUUUUUGAUGGUUUUAAUAUGUAUUACUAAGAUAGAUAUUACUUAUUUUAACUGUUGAAAUUGGAUAGCUUUAGGGCGCGUUUUUAAAAAAAAAACAACAAUUGAUUUCAAAAUAACACGACAACAAGCAAAGCUUCCGCAAUGAAAGUAUUUUUCAAAAUUAAUCACUUUUCCUAAAAAUGACUUAAUCAAAUCAGUUUCCUAGAAAUAUACAUGACGUUAAGGUGUGGCAAUGGCGGUGUGCAUGUCUAGGAUUGGAUCCGAAGGGAGCUUGGUACUUAAGUAGUCCGAUAGACUCACCUCCUCUUUUCCGGUUUCCUACCUGGUGCACAGCUUCCAUUCACUUUAACCUAUAAUGAAAUUAUCUUUUAAAACACUAAGUAGGUUUUUCUGGAUCAACAAUAUAAAAUGUUUUGAACGCUUCGAUGUGGCAUGUCGGAUCUGGCCAUAACGUCUGGGCCAGGUUUGGGGUGUUACGUUUAGUGGUAUCAGAGCCUAGGUUGCAACAACUCGGCUGUGGAUCGGGUAAAAAAAAGGGUUUUCAAAACUUUAUUCCAAAAAAAAGAGAGGGUAUUUUUUUAAAAAAAAACCUGACUUUUGAAAAUAAAUUUCCUGUUUAAAGGAGAUAAUCUCUGAACUUGUUUUUUUUACACAAAUGUUUGGAAAAUGGAUUUCAAAAAGCCUAAAUCUUUUGAGUUUAUCUGAAAACUGAUGAGGUGGCACACUGAAUCCCCAGCACCAAGGCUGUAAGUACUAUUCUGUUUUAUAUACUGAACUGUACUGUAGUUAGUACUAAACCUUAGAGAUAGUACUAUAGAUAAUGUAGCGUAAAGGUUACAAAACUGAGACUAUAGGGUAAACUAAGCCCUUGGAAACUGAGACAGUAGCUAAAUUGUGGUUACGCGAGAACAACUCUGAAAUCUUAUCUGUUCUUAAGAUAUUCUAUAAUAAACAGUAGAAACAGUAAACUAACUGCAUAAAAUUUGUAAUCAAAUAAAUCGAUAUGAGUACGUGAGCUACUCGGGGAAGAGGCCGUGGUCGAGGCUGUGGUCGAGGCCGAGGUAGUACUCAAGCUGGAUCUUCGUCUUCUGAACACAUACCCGCUGGAGUAGCACAACCACCACUGGUGGAUGAGAAUCGGCUGUAUGAUCUGGCUGCGGGGGAUGACGCUCUGUUCCAGGCCAUGUUAAGAGUUUUGGAAAGGGUGGCCGGAGCUAAUAUCGGGCCUAUGAAUAGGGGGUCUAUUUCUGAGCGACUCCGGGCCAACGGAGCGAAAGUUUUUAGGGGUGUAUCUGGAGUAGCCCCAAAUGUGGCUGAGUACUGACUGGAAGCCACGGAGUGGAUUAUGGAUGACUUGGACUGCUCAGUGGAGCAAAAGUUAAAAGGAGCAGUAUCCUUACUACGGGAUGAGGCGUAUCAGUGGUGGAUCACUGUGAGAAAGGGUUCCCCAGCUGAGAGGGUAACUUGGGAGUUGUUUAAGCAGUCUUUCAAGGCGAAGUAUGUCGGAGCUAGUUAUGUGGAUGCGCGAAGGAAAGAAUUCCUGAACCUGACCCAAGAUGGUAAAACCGUUGCUGAAUAUGAGGCAGAGUUUCUGCGAUUGAGCCGGUAUGCUAAUGGUAUUAUCUCUACAGAAUACGAGCGCAAUGUUCGCUUUGAAGAUGGCCUCAGGGAUGAGCUAAGGGUGCUCAUAGCUCCGCAAAGAGAGCGCGAUUUUGCUGCACUGGUAGAAAAGGCUAAGAUAGCCGAAGAGGUGAAGGAAGCUGCACGAAGGAACCGUGACAGGGAUCGAAACCGGUUCAGGAGAGAUACUGGACCAACUGGUGCUGCAAACCGGAAUGUUAAGAGAGCUAGGAUGGAGGAACCAGUUCGAGAGGUUCCGGUAAACACUGUUAGACCACAAGCUUGUGGAGAUUGUGGUAAAAUGCAUCUGGGGGAAUGUUGGAAACAUUCUGGGGCUUGUCUUCGUUGUGGAUCAAAGGAACUUAAGAUCAGGGAUUGUCCUAAGAGGCCAGCUCUGGCUCAAGUGGUUGAACAAAGGGCUGUGCAACCCGUGCAACCAGCGCAAGGUGGACCGUCGCCGUCGAGAGGUCGUGGCCAAGGUCGCGGUGGCAAUGGCCAUGGACGUGGGGCACCUGGAAGGGGUAUUGUUAACACUGAGGCUCGUUAGCCAACUUUGGUAUAUGCUGCUCGUCACCGCGAGGAGGGUGACUCACCUGAUGUCAUAACUGGUACGUUUUUUAUCUCUGACGUACCCUAUACUGCUCUGAUAGAUGUGGGGUCAACUCAUUCAUAUGUUGCAUAUGAUAUUUCUGGGGCAUUGGGCGUUCACUUUGAGGAAACUGUGUGUGGGGUAACUAUGAUAAGUCCGUUAGGUCACUCAGUUAAAGUAGAGAAACUCUUUAGGGAGGUGCCUUUAGAAACUCAAGGUAGGAUUUUCUGUGGAGAUUUAAUGGAGUUAACAUUCUGAGAAUUCGAUUUGAUCUUAGGGAUGGAUUGGUUGACCAAGCAUAGGGCAACGCUGGUUGUGCAACUAAGAGGAUGGUGUUAAGGACUAUUGAGGAUGAGGAGGUAAUGAUUAUUGGGGAACAAAGAGAUUACUUGUCCAAUGUGGUAUCAACUUUAAGGGCUGAGAAACUAAUGCGUAAGAGAUGCGAGGCGAACUUGGCUUUUGUAAAUCAAGUUGAAACUGGGGAUCUAACUGUGGAUAUCGUCAGGACUGUUAGUGUGACAGCCCUAAAGUGACCCUAGUCGGAAAGCGGUUUCGGGACCGCUAAACCGAGUCACCAAAUUAUUUGAAUGUGAUAUUUAUUGUCUAAAAUAUGUGAUUAUGAAGGUGUGAAAGUUUUAGGCUUCGAUUUAGUAAAUUGUAUGUGAAUUUAGUCAAAAGGACUUAUGGGUCACAUUUUUGAAAUGUGAUAGGCUAAUCUACAAGGACCUAAUAGUGCAUGUAAUCAAAAGGGAGGACUUGCAUGUCAACUUUCCCCCUAAUAUGUAGUGGCCGGCCAUGAGCAUGGGUGGACAAGAUGUUAUGGCUAAAAACAUGUCAUAAACAUGUUGGGGUAAUGCAUUAUGUAAGGAUUAAUAAAAUAAAGAGCAUGAGCAAUAAAAUAUUAGUGUUAGUAGGAUGAUAAACAAAAAAAAAGGAUGUGUGUGAUUGUCCCCCCCAUUGCCGUGAGUUGAAGGAAAGAAAAACAAAAAAAAAAGUGUUCAUCCUUUGGUUCAUCCUUGGCCGAAAAUUUUAAGGAGGAAGGAAGAAGAAAGGUUGAAGAGGUUCGGCCAUGCAUGUAACUAGGCUAAGGUAUGUUUGAUGAUGUUCCAUGAGAUGCAUGCAUGUUUUAGUUGUUAGCUUGAGUUCUACCUAGCCCAUGGUCUAAAUCGUGCUAUGCGAUAGAAAUGACACUCGGCCAUGGAUGCAUCAUUCUUGCUUGGUGUUGAUGUUGUGUUGGUGAGAUAUCAAGUUAUUUUUGUGACCAAGUUGAGAUUUGAAUUUUUGGAAUGAGUAAGGUUUUCGGCUAUGGUAAAUAUAAGGGUGAUGGAUGUUGUGUCAUGCUAAAUCUAGAUGAAUAAUGUUAGUGCUUAUAUCUCGAUAUUCAUGAGUUUCUUUCUUGGUUUUACCUCAAACCCAUGAAGUAUUUUAAUUGGUGUUGUUAGAGGUUUCCGUCAUGGGAUUAUAAGCUUGUUAGUUUUGAUGAUGAAAUUUAUGCCUUACAAGGGUAAAUGGUGUCUUGAUGCAUUCGGCCAUGGUAGAAAGUAGAUGUGAAAUGGUAGUAAGAUAAAAUGCAAAAUGUUAGUAUUUGAUUACUAGUGUAUAAAUGCGUAUUAGCCGAGUUUUGAAUUUGAAACGAAACGGUAUAUAACCAAUACAAGUAACCAUACUUGUGGGAAGUAUUAAGCAUAUAAUUGGCCUCAACAUAUACAUGCAUACUCAGCUGUGGAUCGGGUAAAAAAAGGGUUUUCAAAACUUUAUGCCAAAAAAAAAGAGAGAGGGUAUUUUUUAAAAAAAACCUGACUUUUGAAAAUAAAUUUCAUGUUUAAAGGAGAUAAUCUCCGAACUUGUUUUUUUUUUACACAAAUGUUUGGAAACUGGAUUUCAAAAAGCCUAAAUCUUUUGAGUUUAUUUGAAAACUGAUGAGGUGGCACACUGAAUCCCCGGCACCAAGGCUAUAAAUCUAUUCUGUUUUAUAUACUGAACUGUACUGUAGUUAGUACUAAACCUUAGAUAUAGUACUAUAGAUAAUGUAGCGUAAAGGCCACAAAACUGAGACUAUAGGGUAAACUAAGCCCUUGGAAACUGAGACAGUAGCUAAACUGUGAUUACGCGAGAACAACUCUGAAACCUUAUUUGUUCAUAAGAUAUUCUAUAAUAAACAGUAGAAACAGUAAACUAACUGCAUAAAAUUCGUAAUCAAAUAAAUCGAUAUGAGUACGUGAGCUACUCGGGGAAGAGGCCGUGGUCGAGGCCGUGGUCGAGGCCGAGGUAGUACUCAAGCUGGAUCUUCGUCUUCUGAACACAUACCCGCUGGAGUAGCACAACCACCACUGGUGGAUGAGAAUCGGCUGUAUGAUCUGGCCGCGGGGGAUGACGCUCUGUCCCAAGCCAUGUUAAGAGUUUUGGAAAUGGUGGCCGGAGCUAAUAUCGGGCCUAUGAAAAGGGGUUUAUUUUUGAGCGACUCUGGGCUAACGGAGCGGAAGUUUUUAGGGGUGUAUCUGGAGUAGCCCCAAAUGUGGCUGAGUACUAACUGGAAGCCACGGAGUGGAUUAUGGAUGACUUGGACUGCUCAGUGGAGCAAAAGUUAAAAGGAGCAGUAUCCUUACUACGAGAAGAGGCGUAUCAAUGGUGGAUCACUGUGAGAGAGGGUACCCCAGCUGAGAGGGUAACUUGGGAGUUGUUUAAGCAGUCCUUCAAGGCGAAGUAUGUCGGAGCAAGCUAUGUGGAUGCACGAAGGAAGGAAUUCCUGAACCUGACCCAGGGUGGUAAGACCGUUGCUGAAUAUGAGGCAGAGGUUUGGGUUUUUAAAUGUAAUAAGGCCGCUUAAUUAUUUUUGAUGGUUUUAAUAUGUAUUACUAAGAUAGGUAUUACUUAUUUUAACUGUUGAAAUUGGAUAGCUUUAGGGCGCGUUUUCAGAAAAAAAACAACAAUUGAUUUCAAAAUAACACGACAACAAGCAAAGCUUCCGCAAUGAAAGUAUUUUCCAAAAUUAAUCACUUUUCCUAAAAAUGACUUAAUCAAAUCGGUUUCCUAGAAAUAUACAUGAUGUUAAGGUGUGGCAAUGGCGGUGUGCAUGUCUAGGAUUGGAUCCGAAGGGAGCUUGGUACUUAAGUAGUCCGAUAGACUCACCUCCUCUUUUUCGGUUUCCUACCUGGUGCACAGCUUCCAUUCACUUUAACUUAUAAUGAAAUUAUCUUUUAAAACACUAAGUAGGUUUUUCUGGAUCAACAAUAUAAAAUGUUUUGAACGCUUUGAUGUGGCAUGUCGAAUCCGGCCAUAACGUUUGGGCCGGGUUUGGGGUAUUACACAAAUCCCCUUAUUUUUAGGCUAGAGAAUAAAAAAAAGGUUAAUACUAGUACUUUUAGUUCCUGUGGGUUCGACAUUCUGGUCUUUCUAUAAGCUAUACUAUUGUUCGAUAGGUGUGCUUGCCUUUAUCGUGAUAAUAGUUAGUUUUCAAGUACGAUCAAUCAUAAAUAUAAAACUUAUUAUGCACGUCAUGGAGUGUUAUUUUUCUUUAUCGUCCACAACCGUAUCUUCUUCCUCAUUAAUGCCAUGAUUUUUUUAGGAACAUCCAUUGUCAGGUUUUCUGCGCUUCGCCUCAUAUUUAUUUGAUCAAGAUUUCUUAACUUGGAAAUUAAACCCCCCACACUUAAGAUGUACAUUGUCCUCAAUGUACAAAGAUAGAUAUAUAGAAAAGAAUAUAAACAUAAGAUAGGGAGAGAAGUGAAACUUCCUGAGUGAUGAAUGAAUUCUUUGAGCUGGAGUUUUGGAAAAUAAUCGGCGUGAGGAUGGAGGAGGAUACUGCAGUGGUGGUAGAGGUUCAUUAGUCCAUAAGUUCUGCACCAAAGAAUAUUAUAUCUGGUGGUAGCUAUGGUCGUGGUCGAGCAGGACAUGGCAGUCGUGGAGAACCUUUCCCGGUGGAGUUUUUAGUUCCUAUGUGAUGAUGAGCUGAGGAGCUCUUUAUAACUGUGAUAGAAUUAGGAACUCUUUUAGAAAAUAUAUAAGGAAGAAUAAUUACUCGAUAGUAAAUAGCCAAAAUACAAAAUUGUUAAAUAAAAAUUAUAAAACCUAAUAAAAAUAAGCUUAAUGAAAAACAAAAAGUAUUCUUAAAGUAGAAUAAAAGUAAAAACAUAAAAUAAUAAAUAUAAGUUUUUAAACAUCUUCAUCGCUAGAUGGUUCACGAGGUGGGAGUGGCGAUGAGAUGUGGAAGUGCUGAAAAAUCUGGUGUAGUGUAGCAUCAAUGUGAUGGAAGUGCUGAAAAUACUACUGCUCGAAUCGAGUUAGGCGCUCAGAGAUGUCAGCGUAUGAAGCCGCCGCAUGAACUGGACGAGAGGGUGGUGGUGGCUAAAACAGUGGGUCCUCAUGACAUUGAGGGACAUCAUCGGUAAUGUCCUCGAGGUCCUCCUCCUCGGUGGAUUGGGCGAGACAGUACUGAAGAGGGAAGGUGCCAUGUCGCUUCUCGAUCAUCCUCAUACUUAGCAUGCUCGAGAUGCCCUGUGGGUACAUUUGGCCCAUGAGAGUGAGGGAGGAUGAUUGGGUUGCUAUGUUGAGAAGCCCGAAGUGCCGAGCCAACCGCGUCACAUAGGGCCCAAUGGAGAUGACCCCCUUCCUAUGCCGCUCCAUCUAAUGUUGAAUGACGGGGGCAAUGAAAUAAGCAAGGUCUAUGACAUGCCCGUGUGACAUACACCAUAGAAAGUAGGCGUCGUGAGUGUUGACGACGCCAGUGCUCUCUCGCCUUCCUGUUAACGUGUGAGCCAAAAUGGCGUGUAAGUACCUCAAAGAUGGAGGGAGAGCUGAUGCCUUGGAGCGGCUAGGAUUGUAAAAGGCAGCGCCAGGGGUAAGGGCGUUCCAACACCGUGAAGGAGAGUGAUGGAUGUGGCAAUUAAGAGCGUGGAGUUCAGUCUCCUCCAUGAACAAUUUCAGUUAUAAGAAGAUCAAUUACCAAGUGUUGGUAAUUAUCUUGAGUAAUUAUCCUACAAAAUAUGUCAUAAACAAGUGUCAUUAUAACUUCAAAUACUCUAAUCAAGAUAAUGAUAAUGAUAUGGAUAAGAAUCUUCAGCAAAUCAAACCUUAACCUUCUUUUUCAUGUUAGUCGAAUGGAUGAGGAUAAUUAAUUCAUAUUCUAGCAUGGAAUUCUCCUCAUUUGCUAGUUAACUAUAUGCAAUCAAGACUCAUGAAAUAGUUAAACAUGCCAACCAAAGAAUUUUGACUACACCAUAAAUGUUGUUAUAUCUGUCGUUUGGAUAAGAAAUGGAAGUUUCCAACACUUGGAUUUUCCAAAGUUGAUGAUAAGGAAAGUACAUAGAUGUUCCUUUGUUGCAUCAUUGGGUCACGAAGGAUGCGUAUGGUUAUAUUAUCAGUUAGGUGAAGGAUAAGCUAGCUGGAUGAAAAUCACGUACACUUUAGCUAAUAGGAAGGAAUAUGCUUGCGAAGUUAGUUUUUGCUGCCAUUCCAUUUUAUACCAUGCGGACAAUGAAUUUCAAAAGGCAUGUGUGUGGAUAUUGAUAGUGUCGAAACCAUUUUUUUGAAAACGGGCAUCGAAUUUGUUCGAAAGAGAAGAUUAAAACGGGAGUCGCCACCGAUCUUUAUUUGGUGUGAUCGGAUCACCUUUGUUUUAAAAAAAACAAUUUUAGUUCACUAAAACGGCAUUUUGGUCUACGAAAUUCAAGAGAACAAGUUCGGGAGUCGGUUAUGUACGAGGAAGGAUUAGUACCCUCGACAUGCCCAAAAAUUGGUACCGAACUGAUUAAUUAGUGUCUUAAUGUCGAAAAUUAAAAAUCGGGAAUAGAUUUGUAAUACGAUCCUUUUUUAUUAACAUCGAUUUUAAAAUUCUUGAAUUAGCUCAAAACGAUUGUUAAAGAUUUCCUUAUCUCGAGAUAUCGGAGAAUCACAUCUCGUAAGUUAGGACGCAAUACCAUGAAUUCCCGAGCGUAAGGUCGUCUUUAAAUUAAAUUGGAACCCCGUGUAUUUUAAAACUCAAAAGGAUAUUUAGCUAUUUAGAAUCAAUAAGAGAACCGAAACCCCGUAUGUUAGGGCACAAUUCUUCGAUAUUCCAAAACGCGAAAUAUUGCCUCAUUUUGAAAUUUCAUUUUUUGAAUAGUAGUGAAUACGGUAUUUAAACGACGUAUGUUAUUUGUUUAGGUUAAAAUAAAGCGUUUUAUUGGAUAAAUGUAUUGGGGUUUAAUUCAUGAGGCGAUGAUAUGAAAAAAUAUAGUAAUGAAUGUGAGACAAAUACACAUGGACACAACAUUAUACAAAUGAAUAACAAUAAUGCAAACUUACGAAAUAAACGAAUCAACAUUCACAUUAUGGCAAUAAUCACACAAGCUACAUUAUUUAAAUAUUAACACUAACAAUUAAAGACAAAUGAAUUUAAUAAUAAUUUAAAAGGUAUAAAGCAAAUAAAAAUGAAUAAGAUGUAAAGCAAUUUUAAAAUGAUAAUAGAUGAGAUUAAAAUAAUGUGAAAAAAAGGAGAUUUAAAAUCGACAAUAUACAAAACAAUUUAAAAUAGAGGAUAUGUAUAUAUAUAAUAUUAAAAUAGGUAAUAUAUAUAUAAAUAUAUAUAAUAAAUACUUAAAAAAACUAAAAUGAACAAUAAUACAAUUUAAAACAAAUAAGAGAGUUUAAAAUAAAUAUUAAGAGGCUCAAAAUAAUAAUAUGUAAAAAGAAAUUUAAAAUAAAUAAUAUAUAAAAAAUUUUAAGUAAAUAACAUAUAAAACAAUUUAAAUUAAAUAUUAUACAUGAAAAUUUAGAAUAGAACAUAUAUAAAAUAAUCUAAAGUAAAGAAUAUGUUAAAAUAAAUAAUACGUGAGAAAUAAAAAAAUGAAUUUUAAACGAUUAGAGUAGUGUAGACGAAUAAAGUAUGAAAGGAAACUUAAAAUGGAUAAUACAUAUACAACCGUUUAAAACAAAUAACGUAUAAAAAUAUUUAAAAAUAACUAAUAUGUAUAGUAGUUAAAACAAAUAAUAUAUGUAAAAAUAUUUAAAAUCUAUAACAAUUUACAAUACAUAAGACGUAAAAAGGAUUACGAUAACUAAUAAUAAAAUGUUCUAAUAUAAAUAAUGUAAGAUAAACAAACUUAAAAUAACUAACAAUAAAACAGCUCCUAAAAAGUUGAAAUAAUAAAUAAAUGAACAAAUUAAAUAGAUUAGGACUAAGUUGAAAUUUAAUUAAAAUUUAAGAUGCAAAUUGUAAAAAAAUAGGCCACUAAGGACCGAAGUGAAAUGUGCAUAAAGAACGAGGGACUGAUUGGGAAAAUAUUCCCGCCCUCCAUGCGCAGUGUUUCAAACGGGACCAAAUUGAGAUGAGAGCAAAGAACACGGGAUCAAAAUUAAAAAAAAAAACGCAAAAGAAAGAAUAAAAUGGGGCAAAUUGAAAACAAGAGGCAAAACAGAAGGACCCACAGCGCAAAUAUCCCAUUUGAGCUUUAAAAACACGCGGAUCGCCCCAUUAAUCGGGUCGGGUCGCGGGUUCCCUCUCUAAAACGACCCCGUUUUGAGGCGUGUGGGGAAGGUAGUAAAACGCUGUCGUUUUACUCUGCUAUUAAAGCCCAUUUUUAUUUUAUUUUUUUUAAUUUUAGCAACAUCUAAAAAAAAAGUUAAUAAAGAGUUCUCAUUGCUCUCCCUUCACUCCUAUGACCGGCGAUAGGGUUUCCUGGUGUCCAUUGCGCCGCCGUUGUGGGCCAAUGGCCGGCGUUGCGCGAAUGGGAUUUUUUCAGCUCCGAGGAGGCCAACGGAGGUGAGUACCCUCCCUUUUCUACUCUUUCGUUUUAUUUUUUAUUCCAAAAAAAUAUAAAAAAAAAAACAAAAGCAACAGAUAUUUAAGAGCAAAAAUGAAAUAGAAGAGGAAUCACCUUCUAAAGUUUUGGUUUUUAUUGAUUUUUUGUAUUAGAUUUUCUUUGUUUUUUUUUUGUGUUAAAAACUGAUUUUACAAAAAAGAAUAAAAAAUAAAGGAUAAAAAAAAUAAAGAAACGGAGAUAAAAAGACGAGAGAAUGAAGUUCAACCUUUUUGUUUUUUGAUUGCUUAAAUUGUGUCCUUUACAAUAUUUCGUGUUUGUGGCUAUAUAGCUGAAUACAAAAAUGCUUUAGUAUAUUCAUUGCUAUUGUUUUGCUUCGUUUCUGCUUUUUGCUUUCUUUUUGUUUCUGUUUUUGCAGACUUAGAGGGUCAACGAGGGUGAAAACAUGCCAUUUUGAUGCGAGGAAGCAGCCAUUGAGAGGAUGGUAUGCUGUCAGAGGCACGUGGGGUGCGGGGCAACCGAGGCUGCGGCGAUGGAGUGGAUGGGAACCCUAGGGUUUCCUGAAAAUUUCAAAUAUUUUGGGCCAAUCGGGCCUUGUGAUGUUGGGCUCAAGAUUUUGGGUUGUGUUUUGGGUCUUAAUUGGGCUGAUGGUUUAGGUUAGGUGUUGGGUCUUUUAAUUGAACUAUAAACAUUUUGGGCCCGGGCAAAAUUUGGGUCCUACAGCUGCCCCUCUUUGCUCAUUGUCGUGUAAUGGGAAUGGAGCAAAGACUAUAAGAGGGCCAAUUUUGCCUGGAUCCACUGAGUGGCGCUUUUUUUUCUUUGAGUAGCUUCAAUAUGCCCUACUCCAAUCAGCUCUACUGCAACUCCAGGGAGAUAAGACUUGUUAUUUCAACCUGUUUCACUGCAACUUUAGGGAGGCAAAGGUUUGUGAUCUAUAGCUUCGAUUUACUCCACUGCAACUUCAGGGGGUAAGAUUUGUAACUUCAACCUGCUUCGCUGCAACUUCAGGGAGACAAGGUUUGUUUUGAUUUGUUCUACUGCAACUUCAGAGAGAUAAGAUCUGUAAUUUAUGGCUUCAAUCUGUUCCACUGCAACAUCAGAGAGGCAAAGGUUUGUGAUCUAUAGCUUCGAUGUACUCCACUACAACUUCAGGGGGUAAGAUUUGUAACUUCAACAUGCUCCGCUGCAACUUCAGGAAGACAAGGUUUGUUUUGAUUUGUUCUACUGCAAUUUCAGAGAGAUAAGAUCUGUAAUUUAUGGCUUCAAUCUGUUCCACUGCAACUUCAUAGAGAUAAGACUUGUUUUGAUCUACUCUACUGCAACUUCAGGGAAAUAAGAUUUGCUAUCUCCAGUCUGCUCCACUGCGACUUUAGGGAGAUAAGACUUGUAACUUCAACCUACUCCGCUACAUCUUCAAGGAGAUAAGGUUAGUGGCCUCGAUCUGCUUCACUGCAACUUCAGGAAGAUAAGAUUUUCCAUCUUCGUAGCUUCAAUCGAUCUUGUUACGUUGUCCUCUGAGGGAUAUGACUCGUAAAAUUGAUUUCUUGAGCCUAUGCUUAUGCCAAAUGAUUAGGAUGUCAUGAAUGAAUCAAAUUCCCCAACCAGAUGUGUAUAGGUGAUGUUUGAAUGAAAGCAAAAAUGUUAUUUUCUUUUAAUGCUUAAUUUGAUAUUACUCGUUGUUCAUCGAGGUUUUAUCACUGACGUAUUACUCUCCCCUUUUUCUUUAGCUGGUAUCUUUUUAAGAAUAAUCACAAUUUGGGCUAUUCUUUUCCAAUGUCUCCUUGAAUUUGGGUAAUUCAAAUUAAUUAGUCCCGUUUCAAGUCCUUAUUUCAUUUAAAAUCAUUUCAGAGUAAUAUGCAGAACUCAUUUUGGAUGUCAUUAGUCCAUUAAUCGUUAUUUCAAUGAAAAGUGCUUGAAAAAGAUUAUCGCAAUGGACAAGACGGAAUUUUAUUGAGAAAGAGCUUGAAAUGAAUAAUAUAAUCAAGAUAGCAAAUUCGCUAAGAUACAAACUGAAUAAAAAAUAAAAAAAAUAGGUGCCUCGGAUAUCGUAACAUGAGCUUCUCUGCCCAAAACUUCUUGAGGACCCUUUAAAUUUGAUAUGUGUUUAGAAGACCAAGAGUACUUUGUUCAUGCCCCAAGAUGUAGCAUCCCUCCUUCUUGUUAAUUUAGAGAAGACAAAAUUACUGUAUGCCCCAUUUCAAUCAAAACUUGAAUUGCCCAUUCCUGGGUUUUUAACUCAAAAACCUUUUGGUCUCAAAGUGCCCUUUUUGCGGGUUUUCGCCUUAGCCUUUCCUUUUUUUAGGUAAAGUACCUCUUGACUGAAUCUGAAUUCACGGGGUUAGGCAAGCUUUUGCCAUCCAUCUCAGUCAAGAUCAGAACUCCUUCAGAGAAAGCUUUCUUCACCAUAUAAGGUUCCUCCCAAUUUAGCAUCCAUUUUCCUUUGAAGUCCUUUUGUAUGGGAAAAAUCUUUUUUAGAACAAGGUCUCCUUUACAGAAUUCUCUAGGGAUAACCUUCUUGUUAUAAGCCAGCAUCAUUCACUUUUGGUACAUUUGACCAUGACGAAUAGCUUUCAACCUCUUUUCUUCAAUUAAGUUCAACUGGUCGUACUGCGAUUGGAUCUAUUCUUCUUCAUCUAACUUUAGUUCUGAUAGGACUCGUAGAGAAUGAAUUUCAACCUCAAUAGGCAAGACCGCCUCCAUUUCAUAAACCAAAAAGAAAGGUGUUGCCCCGGUGGAGGUUCUGACUGACGUUCGGUAGGCGUAGAGGGUGAAUGGUAAUUUCUCGUGCCAAUCUUUAUAAGUCUCAGUCAUUUUUCCCAUGAUUUUCUUGAUAUUCUUAUUGGAUGCUUCCACCGCACCAUUCAUCUUUGAGCGAUACGGUAACGAGUUAUGGUGUUUGAUCUUGAAUUGGCUACAGACCUCUGCUAUCGUGUUGUUGUUCAAGUUCAGUGCAUUGUCGGAUAUGAUCCUCUCAGGCAUCCCAUAUUGACAUAUAAUCUCCUUUUUUAAGAACUUGUUGACUACCGAUUUCGUGACGUUGGCAUAAGAAGUGGCUUCUACCCACUUGGUGAAGUAAUCGAUGACCACAAAGAUGAAUCGAUACCCGUUAGACACUUUUGGCAAGAUUGGCGCGAUGACGUCCAUGCUCCACAUGAAGAAAGGCUAUGGAGAAGUCAUGACAUGAAGAGGUGAAGGAGGUACAUGAAUCUUAUCUCCGUAGAUUUGGCACUUAUGACACUUUUUUUCACAAUUGAUGCAAUCCCCUUCUAUAGUGGACCAAUAACAUCCAAAUCUCAUGAUUUGUCUGGCCAUUGUAAAACCAUUAGCGUGUGUUCCGUAGACACCCUCAUGGACCUCUUCCAAUAUCUGCUUAGCUUCGAGAGGGUCCACAUAUCUUAAGAGUACCUGAUCCUUCCUUCUUUUAUAUAGGAUCUCUCCGUCCAAGACAUAGUCACUGGCUAGCCUUCUCAAUGUCCUUUUAUCAGUUUCUGUCGCUUGGUCUGGGUAUUCACGAUUCCUCACGUAUCGUAAUAUAUCCUGAUACCAAGGGUGAUCGUCCUUUUCUUCUUCUUUUUCGAUGUUGUAAUAAUGAGCCAGAGCCUCAUAGAUACUCAUUUGGAUAGGCUUCACAUCCUCCUGUUUAUUUACUUCGAUCAUUGAAGCUAAAGUUGCCAAUGCAUCAACCAUCUAGUUUUCAUCUCGUGGGAGGUAACAGAAAGUGAUAUCGUCAAACCCCUCAAUUAACUCUAGAACCAGCCUUCGGUAAUUGAUCAACUUAGGGUCUCUUGUCUCCCAUUCACCUUUGAGCUGAUAGAUCACUAAUGCCGAAUCCCCGUAUACUUCUAACAUAUUGAUUUUACGUUCAAUGGCCACACAGAUUCCCAUGAAGGCAUGCCUCGUAUUCUGCCAUAUUAUUUGUGUAAUCAAAAUCCAAUUUACUAGUAAAGGGAUAAUGAUCUCUAUUUGGGGAUACCAUAACUGCCCCGAUUCCAUUACCCACAGCAUUUGAGGCUCCGUCAAAAUUCAGUCUCCAAGGAUGAUCUUCUUUAGAGUAUUCUUCCGUGGUCACAACGUACAUUAAGUCUUCAUUUAGAAAAUCAAAACUCAAAGGCUCAUAAUCUUCUAGAGCCCUAUUGGUAAAAAAAUCUGCUAUCGCACUCCCUUUUAUAGCCUUCUGGUUCACAUAGACUAUGUCGAAUUCAGAAAGCAAAAUUUUCCAAUGAGCCAUUCUUCCGUUCAAAACAUUUGACUAAAUCAUGUACUUCAGAGGGUCUAGUUUUGAGAUAAGCCAAGUUUAUGGUACAACAUGUACUGUCUCAGUCUUCGGGUUGUCCAGAUCAAAACACAACACAAUUUCUCGAUCGGCGAAUAUCUUGUCUCGCAUUCAGUGAACUUCUUGCUAAGAUAGUAUAUCACCUUUUCUUUUCUUCCUGACUCAUCAUGUUGGCCUAACACGCAUCCCAUGGAGUUCUCGAACACUGCCAAAUAUAGUAUCAGUAGUUUAUCUAGGCAAGGUGGCAUCAGCACCGGGGCAUUAGACAAGUAAUGCUUGACUUUAUCAAAAGUUCUUUGGCACUCUUCAUCCCAUACACCUGGGUUGUGUUUCCUAAGGAGGUAGAAUAUCGGGUCACAUUUCUCCGUUAGUUGUGAAAUGAACCGGGCAAUGUAAUUUAGCCUUCUUAGGAAACCUCGAACUUCUUUUUGAGUGCUUGGCAGAGGUAAUUCUUGUAUGGCUUUGACUUUAUCUAGGUUGAUUUCGAUCCCCUUUUCACUGACUACGAAUCCUAAUAGCUUUCCUGACUUGGCGCCAAAGGUACAUUUCGUAGGAUUGAGCUUUAACUGGAACUUUCUUAAUCUUAAAAAUAGUUUCUUCAAGACUUUUACGUGCUCCUUUUCUGUUUUGGAUUUCGCAAUCAUAUCAUCGACGUAAACUUCGAUUUCCUUAUGCAUCAUGUCAUGGAACAGAGUUACCAUGGCUCUCUGAUAUGUUGCUCCUCCGUUCUUUAGUCCCAGUGGCAUCACCUUAUAACAGAACGUUCCCCACAUGGUCAUGAAUGUGGUCUUUUCUAUGUUUGUAGAAUGCAUCUUUAUCUGGUUGUAUCCCGAGAAUCCAUCCAUGAAGGAGAAAAGUGAGUAACCUGCCGUGUUAUCCACUAAUGUAUCAAUGUGAGGUAACGAAAAAUUGUCUUUUGGGUUGGCUUUGCUCAGAUCUCGAUAGUCCACGCACAUCCGUACUUUUCUAUCUCAGAUCUCGAUAGUCCACGCACAUCCGUACUUUUCUAUCUUCCUUAGGAACUGGGACUAUAUUGGCUACCCAUUCUGAGUAUUUAACCACUUGUAAGAAACCGGCGUCGAAUUGUUUCUUGACCUCCUCCUUUAUCUUCAACAAAACAUUAGGUCUCAUUCUUCGGAGUUUCUAUUGGACUGGCUUGCACCCUUCCUUUAAGGGAAGUCAAUGUACCACGAUAUCGGUAUUCAACCCGGUCAUGUCUUGAUAUGACCAUGCGAAGACAUCCUUAAAUUCUUGUAGUAACUCAACGAGGUCUCACCUUGUUUCUGCGGUGAUAAAUUCCAAUCUUCACCUCUCUUCCCUCUCCUAAGCUCACAAUUUCCAUUGACUCCUUGUGAGGUAAGAUUUGUUUCUCAUCUUGUUCUACCAUUCUUAACAAAUCCGGAGAUAAGUUAUAGUUUUGGUCAUCUUCAAAAUCUUGAGAAUCUUCUGUACACAUAUCUUACUCAAAAGGAGACUUUGAGUCAGGAGCAGUAUUACUCAUAUCGUUGAUAUCUGGAGACCUGUUAUAGAGAUGAAGAAAAGUCCAAAGAACGAAAGAAUCUAAGAAUAUUUAUUGGUGGUAUGAUUAUGAAUGAAAUGGAAAGAAUAAAAGAAUAUUUGCUCAAGAUAAUACGCAAAGAUGCAUUCUUAUUAAAAUAACGAUAUUGGAUAAGAGCCUAUUUUACAAAAGGAUUCUUAUUGCCCCUAGGCUUAGAGCAAUAAGCUUGUUUUGGACAUUACUCUGAAUUAAUUUUAAAAGUUACAGGGAUCUCCUCCGCGGUCCAAUUGUUUAAGACGCUCCCAGGCGCAUAUGGGCAAAUGCCUACUUGAUUCUCUUCUCUCGUUUCUUCCUCGGAUAUGGCAUUAAUGCUCAAAGUAGCCUCUUUCCCUGUCGAUUUUCCUUCAGAGUAAAUGGUCCCUCCCGACACGAAUGUUCUAGAUAUAUGAGGAAAGAUCAUGGGCUCCCAUUUGACCUCCUCUCCGUUUAAACGCACUCUUCUUCUCUCUUGCCUUUUCUCUAUUUCCUUUUUCUUUUACCUUGCAUCUGGUUUGUACCCUAAGCUAAAAAGGUCUCGUUUAUCCGUAAGCAUAGGUGUCUUGAUCCUUCCUUGUAAGCUUCUUCCAAGCCCCUUUCCAGGUAAAGCCCCUUUCCAGGUAAAGCUCCUUUCCUAACCGUCAGUUGUAAGCCCAUCCUGGUAGUUUUGGAGAUUUUUGGGCACCGGGACCUUGUUCCCUUCGACGACGAAAGUUGCAUUCACAAAUUCUAGUGAUCAGAAAGAACAUUCUAUUACUUCACAUAUGUCCCCACAUAUGGUGCCUCACUGUAAUGGAGGUAAUGAUAUCCUCUUCCGCGUUUACAGUCACCAGUCGGCCUUCUGUUAUAAAUUUGAGCUUUUGAUGUAAAGAUGAUGGCACUGCCCCCACUGAGUGAAUCUAGGGCCUCCCCAAUAAGCAAUUGUAAGAAGUUUGAAGUCCAUUACUAAGAAAUCCACCUCAUACGUGCUUGGACCGAUCAAAAGGGGUAUUUCAAUCCUUCCUAUUACUUUUCUCUCGGUGCCAUCAAACACCCUUACUAUAUUUUGGCAUGUCUUGAUAUGAGAACUAUCUACUGGCAACCUAUUCAGUGUGGAUAGGGGUAAGACAUUUAGUGUAGACCCAUUGUCAAUCAUACUCCUGGUAGUGUAUGUCCUUUACAGCGGGUGGUGAUGUGUAGCGCCUUUGUUAACCCCAUUCCCCCUAGCGGUAUUUCAUCAUUAUUGAAAAAUAUGAAAUUAUCGGUGCUUAUAUUAUUGACGAGUUGGUCCAGCUUGUUAACAGAGAUAUCAUCUGUGACGUAAGUUUCGUUUAGUACCUUCAUUAACGUGCUCCGAUGUGUCUCUGAACUCAAGAGUAAAGCUAGCACCGAGAUGCGAGCCAAUUGCUUAUGUAACUGUUCAACCACGCUGUACUCACUAUGCUUAAAGAACUUUAGGAAUUCUUUAGCUUCAUUCUCGGUUAUUGGCUCGUUGAUUGGCGAUUCGAGCCUGACCGUCUUUUCCUUCCUUUGUUCGACCACUAGGGUCUUUCCUUUAACAGUUUCAGUUCCUGUACGCGCGGGAUCAUAACGUCUCCUGCUGCGUGUAUAGAAACCUACAUCUUGGUUCUCCCUUGAAGCGCUAGCCGGGUUCUCCCUACCCGGGAUCGUCACGUUGCAGUCGUAAUUCUAGGGAACCCUUUUACUAUCCUUGUAAGGGAAGGAUACCGGAUUCUGGAUUAUGACUCUCGACGCCAUUUGUACUUCUGCUUCAUUGUUCUUUGGUCGCGAAAUUAUCACCACAGGAUGAUUAUCUCUUUAAACCCAUUUUGUUGUUAUUUUCUAUGAGGCAAAACCUCUCAUUCUUCUGGUCAUUCGAUUUCUUCGCAAAAUUCCAUAUCCUUAUUAUCCAUCAGAUUUUGCACUAUAGACCUGAACUUAUUGCACUCUUGGAUGUCAUGGCCUUCAUCAUCAUGAACCUCACAGUAUCUUCUUGCUUCUCUGAGCCUUGAAUCUUGUGUGACUAAACCUUUUUCCACCAUCAUCUUCCAAACCCAUUUCAACAGGAUUUUUACCUUUGAUACAUCUAUCUUGGUUUUCCUCCUUCCCUUUUCAAUUUCGCGUUUACCCCUUUGUCUGAAUGACUAGGUAGCGGAUUCCCUGCCAUAUUAGGUCCUAUGGGCUCAUCGAAUUUCACAACGCCUAUUCCUAUGAGCCUUUCGACUACCUUUUUGAAGGCAGUGUAAUUCUCAAUCGUGUGUCCUGAGAUUCCGGCAUGGUAUUCUCAUUGAGCGUUUGCGUCAUACCACUUAGGGAAUGGAGGUUGCAGGGGUUUCAAGUAGUAAGGUGACACCAUAUGGGCAUCGAAUAAACUCUGAUACAACUCCCCGUAUGACAUUUGGAUAGGCGUAAACUAGACUCUUUCUGUGUUAGGCCUCGGGUUUGAAUCUUGUCUUGUAGAUCCUUGAUGGCUGGUAGUCACUGUCUUUGGUUGGCUCACAGUGACUGGCUUGGAAUAACUCUUAUUGUAUACGCUCGCGUUGUUCACCUCAUUUUCUUUCCUUUUCGAAGCUGAUCUUUUGGCAUUUUCCCCUGUUUCGAUCUUUCUGCAUCUUAUCGCGUUUUCUAUCAUCUCUCUUGACAUUACUAUGUCUGAGAAACUCUUAUUAGCGCUUCCCAACAUGUGGUUGAUAAAUGGAGCUUUCAGAGUGUGGAUAAAGAGUAUAGUCGUUUCUUUCUCCAGAAGAGGUGGUUGGACUUGCAUCGCCACCUCUCUCCAUCUUUGGGCGUACUGCCUGAAGCUCUCAUUUUGUUUCUUCUCCAUGUUUUAUAACGUGAUUCGAUCGGGUGCUAUGUCUGUCACGUAGCCAUAUUGCUUCAUGAAAGCUUGUGCCAAGUCAUUCCAUGAGUGGAUUUGCGCGAGACUUAGUUUGUUGUACCAUUUGGCCGCAGACCCGACCAAACUGUCUUGGAAGGAGUGGAUCAAUAAUUGAUCAUUAUGAACAUACCCUGCCAUUCUUCGACAAAACAUGGUGAUGUGGGCCUCUAGAUAACUAGUUCCAUUGUAUUUUUCAAAGUCUGGGAUUUUGAACUUAGGAGGGAGGACUAGGUCUGGGACCAAGCUCAAAUCUUUAGCAUCGAUCCCACAAUGAUAAUCAGCACUUUCCAUCACUCUGAACUUUUCCUCUAACCACUUGCAUCAGUCUUUCAAAUCUUUUGAGAGCCCCGUACUCACUCUUUCUUCUUCUACCAUGUUAUCUAGAUCAGAGAUUAUAGGAUUAACAGGGUUAUCCCCGAGAUUAGAGCCUGAGCCCGUUUGAUAAUUGAUUGGCAUCGAGGUAUCAGCCUGAAAUUACUGAGGCCUGAUCGUAACGGAUGGUCUUUGCAUGUGUAGCUCGGGUUACGUUUAAGCAUUCAUCGGGGUGAAACCAGGAGGUAGAGGGGAUCUUCAGUAAUGGAUGGCCUCUGCGUGCGUGUUUCAUGCUGUGUUUGGGCAUUUGCCGGGGUAAAACCAGGGGGUAGGGGAAUCUCCAUUUUUAUUUCCCAUAUCGGCCAUAGGGCCCUUUCUUUUGUCUGGCCUACUAGUCAGUAGUCGGGUUAGCUCUUCCAUCAUAUUUCUUUGGGAUUCCAGCAUCUGGUCUCUCAUUUCCUGCUGGAUUUUUGCUAACUAUUCUUGCACUUGUGCUUGCAUCUACUCCUGCAUCUCUUUCUGCAUUUGCUCUAGUCUCUCUAGUUUUUUAUCCGUUGCUUUAGUUUUUCUUCUUGUACUGUAGGGAUGUGUAUUUGGGAGAUUUUCGUCAGUUUCCAGAUUACUGAAAAAUUUUAAUUAAUUAAGGUCUUUUCAUGAAAUUUAAUGCAUAUGAUGAAAUGUAAUGCAAAUGAAUGAAUGCAAAAAGAGGUGUUGAUUCUAAUUCAAUUUAAUUAGAACAACUUUACUAGAAGAAAAUUUUCUUUACAUAGAACGGAUGGUUACAUAUACGACUUUGCCCUAAUGCCCAAAGCCUUAACCUUCCUAAGAAGCCAAGCUAAGUUUCGGCCUCGAUCUGAUUCUGACUCAUAUUUUAGGCUUAAUACAUCAGCCUGAACUGCCAAGGUUUGCAAAUGAUAGGCUAUCUCUCGAAUUUGAGCCACAGCUUCACCCAUGACAUAAUCUCUACUUCUGAUUUGAUCUUGAGAGUGGUGAAGUUGUUCUUUGCAAUGUUCAUUGUUUGCCACAAGGAAUUCCACUCGACAUUUACUAUCUUGUAGUGCCGCAUCGAGUUCCUCUAUCCAUCCUUUCAACUCCUCGAUUUUGCUUAAGUUGGUCUUUAACUCAAUUAUGGAGUUACGGUUACGAUGCAUAUGUAGCGAUUUUUCCAGUUCGACUAUCCGAGCUUGUAAUUUCUAUUUUUCGCUUUGGCUUUCUGACGAACUCUUUUUCAAAACAUCUUCCCGCAUUUGAACAUCUUGAAACAUCUUGAAACUUCUUCUCCCAGUGAUCAGCUCUAGCCUUUUCUCUUUCAAUUUCUUGACGCCACUGAUCCGACGUCUUACCCAAAUCGGCAGUUCUUAUUGACGUACGCAGCUUCUUAUAAUCAGUCUUCAGACUAUCCAAGUCCUCUUCAGCUUUAUUUUUCCCUUUCCUUAGCUUCUCAGCCUCUAGCUUGUGGAUGUCGACAUCUAAUCCUAGCCGCAUCUUUUCCUCCUCUAAUUGCUCUAUCUUCUUUCCCAAUUCUGAGCUCUUUUUCUCAAAGUCUUGCUUGAUGAUUUCUAGCUCGGAUGGGACUACUUGUAAAUACUCUUCUAUUGGUCGGGCAUUUUCCUGACUUAGCAUUGGGAUGUUGUUGUUGACUCUUUUACCCCACCACCGGUCAUACUCAGGGGUCGUCAUUGGACCUGCCGUGAAUCCUUUCAUUCUUCGUGUUUGGUUCCAAGCAUCUGAUAUCUCACGAACCUUCUUCUUAUAAUUGUUGUCUUUAUAGGAGAACUCACAUUGUUCCAACCCUUGUAUCGUUAGUCUAAACUGUCUUGAUCGAUAUUGCCGUAACACGAGUAAUGGAGCGUAUCCAACGGCUCCCUAUAUUCUAGCCAGAGGGACCCAGUCAAAAUCACCGCACCGAUAUAAGAUCCCGUCGGGGAUCAACCAUGGAGCCCUCCAUUCAACAUCUUCGACUCGUAAAUUCUGGAGAAUAGUUAUCCAUUUCCUUUCUGAGAUGUUGUCUCGCCUCGAUGUAGCCACUAACUCUCUUAAUGGGGAAUAGUCCUUGGAGAAAACCCGAUAAGAGACUUUUUCUACCUUCCAAAAAUGGCUAUGGAACCAAGCCAAUAGAAGCUGUGCACAACCAAUAAAUCUUCCUUCGUCUGCUCUCCGACAUGCAUUCAAGGAUCUGAAAGUUUCUGCUAGGAUUACCGGGACGGGUGUGGUCCCUUUAUUAAGGCGAUCGAAUAAAUCCGAGACGACUUCCUCUACAUGUCCUAAUGCCUUAGGAAAGAUAAUCAAACCGUAAAGGCUUAAGGCGAAAACGUCAACCCUCUUUUUCAUAUCCGGAUGUACUAAGAUUAAGUCCAUCAAAUUCCUCCAAUACUAUCCAUUUUUUUCUUGAUCCGAGUUGCAACCCAUUGUUCGCUCAUCCCCGUGGUAUUCAUCAAUUUCUUCAAAAAAUUCAGGACAUUAACAGGUCUUGAAUAGGCCCUGUCGGCCUGAAUCUUCGGGCAAUUAAGUAACGCCAUGUAUUCUUUUACAGUAGGUACUAAAUCGACUCCUCCGAAGGUGAAGCAACUGUAGGCGGAAUUCCAGAACUGCACGAGGGCUCGAAACAAGUAUUUGUCCACCUUUACAUCGAGCAGAUAGGGUAGGUCACCGUAAUUACAGUAAAAGAGUUGCUUGACCUUAUUAUUCCAACUAUUCCAUAUAUCCUUUAAUUCUUACAGGUCGUUCUAAGUCACACUGAUGCGAGUGAAAUCCCACAACUCCGAUUCAUAUCCGCCGGUCAAACUAUCUCCUUUCUCUUGUUGCGUUAUCUCAAACCACACUUGGACGGCCACAUUAUCCUCCACUCUAUCAAGAAAUCUUUUUUCCAUGCUAAACUUUUCUAUCUAGUAACCGAAUGUGAAUCAACACCUUUUUAUGAUGAGAUGCCAUGCAAUAAUAGCAAAAUACAACAAGUCAGUAUUAAAACAAAGAAUAAAACUCAAAGCAAACAGGAAAUAAUUAAGCACCUAAUCAGGUAACCACUAGGGUUUAGUGUGUUUCUAGGGUAGGCUCUUAGGGCUCAUUACAUGUGGUUCGAUUCUAAAGUAAAGGUACCUGAACCAGCAGAUUCUUCGAUCCUCACCCAUUAUAGGCUCAUAUGGGCCGAGUUCGAUUUAGAGGAAUACAUUUCCCUACGGCUAUACGGAGAUGAAAAUCUCACGAAGACGCAAGUACGGAUGUAUCCAGAAAGCGAUCCACUAUCCUAUACGGAGGUGAAGACCUCACGAAGGAGUAGUUUCUCACUUCCACUUAAGAGGUAAAAUUGACUGAUUAUGCAGUAUGAUGCGCAAAAGUAUACUUAAAAGAGUUAAACAGAAAGCCAAUCAUAAAAAAAAACAAAAACCACAAAGGGGAAAUGCCAUGAAAUGAUCGCAAGUUUAAAACGAAUUUUUAAUUUUUGACAAAGGACAAAAACUAAUCAAUUUAUGGCUCGACCUUUAGCAGAGUCGCCAGCUGUCAAACCAUUUUUUUGAAAACGGGUAUCGACUUUGUUCGAAAGUGAAGAUUAAAACAGGAGUCGCCACCGAUCUUUAUUUGGUGUGAUCGGAUCACCUUUAUUUAAAAAAAACAAUUUUAGUUUACUAAAACAACAUUUUGGUCUACGAAAUUCAAGAGAACAAGUUCGGGAGUCGGUUACGUGCGAGGAAGGAUUAGCACCCUCGACACGCCCAAAAAUUGGUACCGAACUGAUUAAUUAGUGUCUUAAUGUCGAAAAUUGAAAAUCAGGAAUAGAUUUGUAAUACGAUCCUUUUUUAUUUACAUCGAUUUUAAAAUUCUUGAAUUAGCUCAAAACGAUUGUUAAAGAUUUCCUUAUCUCGAGAUAUCGGAGAAUCACAUCCCGUAAGUUAGGACACAAUACCAUGAAUUCCCGAGCGUAAGGUCGUCUUUAAUUUAAAUUGGAACCCCGUGUAUUUUAAAACUCAAAAGGAUAUUUAGCUAUUUAGAAUCAACAAGAGAACCGAAACCCCGUAAGUUAGGGCACAAUUCUUCGAUAUUCCAAAACGCGAAACAUUGCCUCAUUUUGAAAUUUCAUUUUUUGAAUAGUAGUGAAUACGGUAUUUAAACGACAUAUAUUAUUUGUUUAGGUUAAAAUAAAACGUUUUAUUGGAUAAAUGUAUUGGGGUUUAAUUCAUGAGGCGAUGAUAUGAAAAAAUAUAGUAAUGAAUAUGAGACAAAUUAAAUAUUAUACAUGAAAAUUUAGAAUAGAACAUAUAUAAAAUAAUCUAAAGUAAAGAAUAUAUUAAAAUAAAUAAUACGUGAGAAAUAAAAAAAUGAAUUUUAAACGAUUAGAGUAGUGUAAACGAAUAAAGUAUGAAAGGAAACUUAAAAUGGAUAAUACAUAUACAACCGUUUAAAACAAAUAACGUAUAAAAAUAUUUAAAAAUAAGUGAUAUGUAUAGUAGUUAAAACAAAUAAUAUAUGUAAAAAUAUUUAAAAUCUAUAACAAUUUACAAUACAUAAGACGUAAAAAGGAUUACGAUAACUAAUAAUAAAAUGUUCUAAUAUAAAUAAUGUAAGAUAAACAAACUUAAAAUAACUAACAAUAAAACAGCUCCUAAAAAGUUGAAAUAAUAAAUAAAUGAACAAAUUAAAUAGAUUAGGGCUAAGCUGAAAUUUAAUUAAAAUUUAAGAUGCAAAUUGUAAAAAAAUAGGCCACUAAGGACCGAAGUGAAACGCGCAUAAAGAACGAGGGACUGGUUGGGAAAAUAUUCCCGCCCUCCAUGCGCAGUGUUUCAAACGGGACAAAAUUGAGAUGAGAGCAAAGAACACGGGAUCAAAAUUUAAAAAAAAACGCAAAAGAAAGAAUAAAAGGGGGCAAAUUGAAAACAAGAGGCAAAACAGAAGGACCCACAGCGCAAAUAUCCCAUUUGAGCUUUAAAAACAUGCGGAUCGCCCCAUUAAUCGGGUCGGGUCGCGGGUUCCCUCCCCAAAACGACCUCGUUUUGAGGCGUGUGGGGAGGGUAGUAAAACGCUGUCGUUUUACUCUGCUAUUAAAGCCCAUUUUUUUUUUUUUUAAUUUCAGCAACAUCUAAAAAAAAAUAAAGAGUUCUCAUUGCUCUCCCUUCACUCCCAUGUCUGGCGAUAGGGUUUCCCGGUGUCCAUUGCGCCGCCGUUGUGGGCUAGUGGCCGGCGUUGCGCGAAUGGGAUUUUUCCGGCUCCGAGGAGGCCAACGGAGAAGAGUAACCUCCCUUUUCUACUCUUUCGUUUUAUUUUUUUAUUCCAAAAAAAUAUAAAAGAAAACAAAAGCUACAGAUAUUUAAGAGCAAAAAUGAAAUAAAAGAGGAAUCACCUUCUAAAGUUUUGGUUUUUGAUUGAUUUUUUGUAUUAGAUUCUCUUUGUUUUUUUGUGUUUCAAAACUGACUUAAGAAAAAAGAAUAAAAAAUAAAGGAUAAAAAAAAUAAGAAACGGAGAUAAAAAGACGAGAGAAUGAAGUUCAACCUUUUUAUUUUUUGAUUGCUUAAAUCGUGUCCUUUACAAUAUUUCGUGUUUGUGGCUAUAUAGCCGAAUACAAAAAUGCUUUAGGCUAUUCCUUGCUACUGUUUUGCUUCGUUUCUGCUUUUUGCUUUCUUUUUGUUUCUGUUUUUGUAGGCUUAGAGGGUCAAUGAGGGCGAAAACAUGCCAUUUUGGUGCGAGGAAACAGCCAUCGGGCGGAGGGUACGCUGACGGAGGCACGUGGGGUGCGGCGCAACCAAGGCUGCGGCGCUGGAGUGGAUGGGAACCUUAGGGUUUCCUGAAAAUUUCAAAUAUUUUGGGCCAAUCGGGCCUUGUGAUGUUGGGCUCAGGAUUUUGGGUUGUGUUUUGGGUCUUAAUUGGGCUGAUGGUUUAGGUUAGGUGUUGGGUCUUGUAAUUGAACUGUAAAUAUUUUGGGCCUGAGCAAAAUUUGGGUCCUACAGAUAAAAUUAUUAGAAAUUUUAUUUUGAGUCAUUAUGAUGCUAAACGAUGCAUUAAUUUAAUCCAGUGGGAUGCUAAGUCUUAGGAUUGGUUUGCACACAAUAUAUUUUAUUAACAAGUAUUUUCUUAUUAAAUUCGGAUUCCAAUUGAUCUAAAAUUAAUAUAAUGCUUUUCGAGUUUUAAA